rnacentral:lncRNA from 1 species
UCGUUGAUUGCCUUUUCAUAGCCCAGUCUCAGUGAUGCAAUUGCCACAUGCCGAAUUCUUAGUUGUGAAUCUGCCAAAAUCUUGUUGUUUGCUUUUCCAUUCAGUUUCAAGCAGUUAGUAAACCCAAAAUAAAUUGGUUGUGACUCCAGAAGUCCGGUUGCCCAUUGACGAAGGUCAGGAGAGGGUUUCGAUAGCUUUUCUAGUACGGAUGCAUCUAGUUCUUGCAGACAUGACGGAAUCUCUGGCAAAGAUUGAAGCCGGUUGCAGUUCGUUGCAUCUAGUUCUUGUAGACACAAUGGAAGUUCUGGUAAUGACCGAAGCAUGUUACAACCCGUCAAGUGAAGAUAUUUUAGACACAAUGGAAGUGCUGGUAAUGACUGAAGCAUGUUACAACGCCUCAAGUCAAGAGAACACAGCCGCGACAGUUGCUUGAUACUUGCAGGUAAACUCUCAAAGUUAUUUCCACGUAGAUCCAAGCUUUUCAGUGAGGAUAGAUAGGCAAUCUCUUGUGGAAUUUCCAUUACAGCACAGUUCAUUAUGUAUAGAAGUCCCAAAGAAGAUAAACCUAAUAAUAAUGAUCGAGGCAAUGAUACCAAACCUUUGCAGCGAGAGAAAUCAAGAAUUAAAAGUGCGUUUGAAUCUGCAACAGAGGAUGGUAGUUGACUAAUAGCUGAUCCAGCUGCUGAGAUGUGACGCAAAGAUUCUAAAUUGCCAAUGUUAUCCGGCAACUUAUCAAGUUUAGAGCAAUCACUUACGAACAAUUCUUCAAGCCCCGGUAGAUUUUCAAAUGACGAUGGCAGCUCUGUAAUUGCCGUCCCGUCUAAAUUGAUGCGUUUUAAAUGUUCCAUUUUCUCCAAGAUUUCUGGGAAGCGCUCAAGGUUCAAGCAGCCAUUAACAAAAAGAUCAACCAAAGAUCUCAAUUUACAAAACCUAGUUGAAAUCCUCUUCAGCCGUUUGCAAUCCCUCAAAUCCAACACUUCAAGAUCAGUUAGGCACUCUAUUGAUGAUGGAACUUCUUCUAUUGCAGACUGGUCUAAGUAUAGCCGUGUAAUUUUCCCAGAAAUCUGUGGAAACUCUAUGAGAGUAACACAAUAGGAGAAAUUAAUAGUUACUGGACAAACAAAAUGAAGAUUGCUUGGAAAAGACCUAAGACUUUUGCAGCCCUCAAAAGACAGCGCACUGAGAUACUUGAAAUUCUGGAUAGAUGAGGGAACACAAGCCUUUUCUCCUUCCCAAGGUUGCUCAACUUUACUAAAACGCAAAUUCAGUUCAACAAGGUUCUUUGGCUUGAAAUUUGAUGGCAGUAUCCUUAAUGGAUAUGUGUCCCAAUGAAGAUAUCUCAAUUUUUCAGGAAGAUAUUCUAGGCCAUUUGGAAGCUGCACUUCAGAGUAUGAAAGUUGCUCUUCAAUGCUCAUACUUAGAAACCUUUCAAUCUCAUAAAACUUACUUGGAAACCUUUCAAUCUCAUAAAACUUAGGUACAUAAAAUUUGAGCAAUCUCAGAUUAGACAUAUUUGUGAAGGCUCCGGGGUCUAAAUUGAUGCAUUUUAUUUUGGACAAAUCCAGAAAUAUGCCUUCAAUUGCAUCGGUCCCCUUAUAAAAAAAAAAAACAAAGAAUGAGUAAGCCAAAAAUAAAAAAGCAACAUGCGUAAACUUUAUUAACUAAGAGCUCCUUAAACAAAAACAAAUUCUGCAAUCUUUGAUUUUAUUUUUUUAAUAUAUUAAAUAUCUAUAUGCGAGAAAAGAAAAUUUUGGGGACCAUUGCAAAAUUAAACUAACCGAAAAAAAAUUCAAAAUUUCUCUAAUUUACAAUCCUAUUAUCUUAAUAUCUAGAAGUUGAGAAGAGAGUGCCUAUUUGAUUGGUAUAAGAUUUCGAAAUUUUUUUUUUUUAGUCGAUAGAAUCCAAAAUGUUAGUUCAAAAUUAGGGAAAAAAAUAAAAGUCAUUUUUUUUCCACUAGUUAAAACUGUAUCCAAGUCAAAUUAAGAUACGACCCUUUUUAAAAAGAUUUAACCAUCUUACAGCCUCCUUAAGGUACAUUUAAGCUAAAAGGAGUAAUUUGAGGCAGAACUAGGUGGUCCAAUCAGUCCAUUUUAUUAGUGUCUGUUGCUUAAAAAAUUUAUACUCUAAAACACACUUUUUUGGAAAAAAAAAUAUAAUUACAUUGAAGUAGAAUCAGGUGGGCCAAUCCUCAUGGCACUCACUUUAUUUUGACACUCUUCACUAAAUUUGAAGAAAAAUAAAAUUAUACUCUUCACACUCUUAUUCAACAUUCCAAAAUUGAUAAAAUCUGGAGUUUUCUUUAAAAAUUUAAAAUUUGAAGACUUGUUCUCUUGACACCCUCAGUCAUUAAUUUUACCUAAUUAUGGUUUUUAUGAUUUUGGUUGUUUUGUUCAUAAAAAUGAUUUUACUAAAGGAUGCUCUGGUAAUAAUAAAAUUUAUAAAAAAAAAUGGGUGUGCUGGUAUGAUUGGAAAAAUAUGAGUGCAUAACUCCAAACAAAUAAAAGAUAUAUAAAAUAAAUGGAGGAUUCUUACCUUUUUAUGCUUGAGUACGCGGCGGAUUUCCUUAGGAUCCCACAACCUGCUGCGUUUGCCAGGCUCUUUCUCAGAUUCUUGGCGAACAAUCUGUCGCCCCAUUUCUUGCAAUAAAUCAUGCAUUUGCAAGCAAUUACCUGAUAUUGAUAUGAGUGACUUAUCAAUAAGGACAUCCAGUCCAUCAGACUCAGAAUCAUCAAGAAUCCUUGCCACAAAAUCUUUAUCCUCUCCCUCAAAGAAACACGCAAUAUCUAGAAACAAACUCUUCACCCUAGGAAUUAAUUCAUUAAAACUAAUCUUUAAUAUUUCAUAAAUAUUAUGAAUAUCAGAUUCACAAAUCCGAUUUAAGUCGUGCAAUACAUUUUCCCAAUGGCUUUUCCUCUUGAGGCACAGGGAGGAACCCAACACUUUAAGAACUAAGGGAUUGCCUUUGGCAUACUCUACAACCCUCCGUGAGUGCCAGUUGAGAUUUGUAGGACAAUGAUUUUCUUUAAAAGCGAAGUUACAAAAAUGCUCGAAAGCCUCUUCAAAUUCCAAUCCAUUAACCCUAUGUAUUUUCUUCUCCUCCCCUCUAAAUUUUUCGAGGACUCCUUUAUCCCUGGUGGUUACAACAAUUCUACUUCCUGGACCAAAUUGAUCAAGCUCUCCAAUCAGACCCUCUAAUUGUCCAACUUCAUUCACAUCAUCGAGUACUAUCAACACCUUCAUACGCCAGACCCUCUCUUUAGUAAAAUGUGGAAUAUUGGCACCAGCUACUUCAAGUUUUUCGCUUAAUAUUGUGGAAAGCAUUUCCUUUUGGAGAUGUUCUAAUCCACCUCCUGUUUCAGAAUUUCUCCUAACAUCUGACAUAAAGCAGCUACCAUCAAACUCACCAGUGAAUUGAUCGAAAAUAGCUUCAGCAAGGGUGGUUUUGCCUAUACCGCCCAUGCCCCAAAUUCCAACAAUUUGGACAGUAUCCGACAAAUCCAUACACAAAAAUGGUUUAAUCUGCUCAAUUCGUGAAUUUAAUCCAACUAGGCCAUUGGAUGAGUCCGUUGCGACUGUUAUUUUUUCCAAAUUUUUUCCAACUUCUUCAAAACAUCUUCGACAAUUUUGUUUACAAGUUCCGCAUCGUGCCUAAUAUAAAGGUGCAAAGAUGCAAAAACAUUGAGUCAAAUCGGGCCAAGACAGAAACAGAGAUAAGAUGAAUUAGGAAAGAGAGUUACCUGAAUUUCGUGGAUUCGUGGCCAGCAAGACCGGAUGUUUCUCUCAGUGCAUCCCUCCACCUCUGAACCAUUUCUGGCUUCUCUUCGAAGUGUUGUUUCAGCUGAUCAAAACCGUGCUUAAAAAUUCCAGUUUGAUGCCGCACAUCGGAUGGACUUACUCCAUAGAAAACCGGAAUAAUGAUUUGGCGGUUUGUGUGCUUGCAUUCAAGAAUCUUGACAAGUUCAUUCAGGCACCAUUUUGAAGAACCGUAGUCCUUUGAGAAAAUGACCACCGAAAUUUUUGAACCUUGGAUUGCGUUCAAAAGGGCAUCUGAAAUCUCAUCUCCUCGCCUAAGCUUUUCAUCAUCCAUAAAUGUUUUGAUUUUCUUUUUGUCAUACAAAUCAUCAUAGAGAUGGCAAGUAAAGAUCCUACGAGUGUCCUCCCCUCUAAAAUUGAGGAAGACUUCAUAAAUGCAAGAAGAAGAAGAAGAAGAAGAAGCAGCCAUGAAGGAAAUUUUAGAAAAUUGGUGACAGAAACAGAGAAUUAAUCUUGAGAGUUGAGAGAGGAGAUGUAAGAAUGAACAUGUGUGAAGAUUCUUGCAAGCACACAGAAAAUAAUUGAAUGGCUGGAGCUUUCUUAGUUUCCUGGAAAUUUCCUGGAGCUUUCAUAUACAUGAUUUGUCAAGUCAAGAAACAUAAUCAUGAUAAUGGGGCAGACCAGGAAGAAAAGAAAACUUGAUUCAACCAAUAAAGGAAGGAAAAGCAAAGAAAGAAAAUUUGAAAGUAGAUUCAGAGAAUUAUAAAAAGCUAAAGGAAAUUGGAAUUUUGUACAAUUUCUCCAGCGAAAAUUAAGCAUAGAAUAAUCCUAAAAUUUAAACUCUAAUAUCUUAUAAUGUAUUGAUUAAAAAUAAUCCUAAGAGUUCCCAAUUGAAACUUUCAUAAGUAUUUUAAUUGUUUUGGAUAAACAAAUUGUACUAGGAUAAAAAUUUGGCAAAUUCAGAGGAUAAUGGAAAAUAGUUAUGCUUCAAUAGGCCAAAGAUUAGAGAACAAACAAGAAUUAGUUAUUGAUACACAAAAGAGAAACACUCCAAAAUUUCAAGCAAAAAUAGUUUCAUAUACCAUUUCGAUUUUGGAAGGGGUGAGGUUUUGAACUUCAAUAGUUUCCUCUAAAAUUAAAAGGCAGCAAUUAAACUAGAAAGAGCAAUGAAGACUUAUUGGUACUUUAUUGAAGGUAAACAUUAUGAAACUUUCAAUGUCAUUACCUCAUUGUUCAAUUUUUAUUGAGAUUUGUGUAAGCAUUUAGCUAAAUCUUACCUCCGCCUUUAAAUUCAUUAGUUUUGAUUAAUUAUGAGACCUGGGAGAUAUUAUAAUCGAACUAAAACUUAAAAUUUCAAUAUCAUUAUUCUUUAAAAAGAAAUUGAGAUUUCAGAGUAAUAUCACAUAGAAAAACUUGCCCACGGACGGUAAGCCAAAAGUCUAGUCAACCACACGCAUAAAGCUAACUAGAACAAGAGAACAGAGAAACGCGUGGGUCCCUAAAAGAAAAGGCGUGGGUCCCAAAAGUCUAGUCAACCAUACCGAUGAAAAUCACUGAUUAAGAAUAAUAUAUUAUGUGGUUGAAGAUUUCUUUUUAUCAAUCUUCUUUCUACCCAUUAAUUUUCCCACGACUUUCCGGUUUCAUUUCUUGAAUCUCCAUGGAUUAACUUUCAAUAAACCAUAAAAUAAACUAAGGAAUCAUUUUCUCGAACACAGCUAUGAUUUUAAUAAAUGGGCGGACCAUCUAGAAUAGUAUAUAUAAUUCUGUUUAAUUAAUAAGUUGAAAAAACCAUAAAGAGAAAUUCUAAUAUUAUGAGCUUGACACGAAUUCUUCACUAAUUCCAAAACAAGGAGCUGUUUUAUAAGAACUGUGGUUGGAUUAUUAAGUUUUACAAUUUGAAUAUAAAUAAGAAAAUAAAAUCAGUCGCGUCGAUGUUUUCGAUACAUUUCGAUGCUAACUUAAUUAAUUACUUUACUUCAACUUUAUUUCCUGACGGACACUAUAUGGUGGGUCCAAGAUGGGACCUACAAUAAUCAAUCCUAGAAUUUAGUAUGGUUACCAAAUAGCUAGUGUUAUUUUGUGUUUGGUGGAAGAGAUUGAAUAUUUAGUUUUAACAUAACCAUUCAACUAAUUAGAAAAUAAAUAAAGUUAAAUGAAAUGUUUAGAUAUCAAUUUAAAUAUUAAUAUCCGGGAUAUAAAUUAGUUAUAAUAUAGUUCAUUACAUAAAAUUGAUUAAAUUAAUAAUUACACAUGAACAUAGAUGUAUAUGCUUUCCAAUUUCCAAAGUGCUCAAAGCACUUUUCUCACCAAACUUUCCUCUGAAUUUCCCGUAGCUGACUCCAUUGUUUGCGUUUUGUGAAAUUUCUAGGAACUUUUUCUAUUUAGAAUAUUGUACAUUUUUCUUUUCAGCUGAGAUUAAUUUAACUUAUAGAAAAUCUUAUCCUUUUUUUAAUAUUAUUUAAAUAAAAUUUGUCUAUCUUUCAUUUUAUCAGUCUACUUUUUACCCAUUAAUUAAGACUUUUCGAUUUCUUUUUUUCCUGAGGUUUUCAGUGACUAUCUUUCAAUAAACCAUAAAAAUUAAUGAGUCAUUUAUCGAACAAUUAGAUGACCAUAUUUCAAAAUAUCAACUAGAAGUUGCCCUGAAAUAUUUAAUUAAUAGUUGAAGAAUUGUGAUUAGUGUGGGCAUCUACAUAAAAAUUAUAUUAAAACACCGCUAAAAGAUAAAAAUAAAAUAAAAUAGUACAAACAUACACCCAUAGGUUAAAACAAAGAAAAAACACGAACCAAUACACUAAAAUGUUUUAGCUGUAGUUAGUUUUCAGUUUCAUUACUUAAGUCCCACGUGCAUGUCACGUGACUGAGGUCAAAAAAUGAUUGUCAGAUUAAAGUUCAAAGUACGGAGCAGGGUAAUUAAGGAGUGGAGCUAUUGGCACCCCUCCAUUAUUCUUACAAAACCCCACUUUAAAUCAAAUUAUAAUUAAGAAUAAUUGAAAAUUAAACACUUAUAGAUUUCUUUACAACAUGUUUAGUGAUAAAAAAGCACCAGUCGGGCAUGUCCCCAUUUCUUACCCGGGGCCGAAUCUCCUCGGCCGAAUGGUAUGAGUAGACUCUUGGUGAUGUGUUCUAUGUGGAGCACGUAAAACAGACCAGGAACUAGUACCAACCAGAAACGAGUACUGAUCAGAAACAAGCAUGACCAGAAACGCAUACCGACUAGAGACUUGUGGGUCCCUAAAAGAAAAGGCAAGCACAUAAACGAAAAAGCCAUUACAUUUCUAUUUUACAUGUCAUUCCUAAUUUUUGUAACACGGUGUGGCAGCAUAUGCACAAUCAAAUGAGGCAAAAGGGAUUCGACUAUCGUGGCAGAACAUGGACGAGGAUGCGUGAUGAAUAAUUCCUUCGAUAAAACGAAAAACAAAUGCAGAGAAAAGAAUUUCUUAUAUGACAAGAAAUUAAAGUAAUGUGACGGAACAUGAUGAAGAAAUUGCAGAUCGAUCAAUUAUCCCCAUGGACUCCUAUAAAUUCAACCAAAAUAACAAUUCCAAUAUUACCAAAUUCUUGAGUUAAAUUUAUUCAAUGCUUUUUUUUAAGAGAAAUUUUUUCCAAUGCUACUUUCCCUUUUUUGGGGAAAUUAGAACUGCGGCAUGUAUAGAAGACAUUGAGGUAUAAAGCAACAUUAAUUUCAUGGGUUAUGCGUUAUACGCAUAAUAUAUUGUCAGUCCAAAUUCAACUAUACAAAGAGGCUUGAGAACUUAAAAUUAAGCACAAACUAAACAGACGAAGUAAAUACAUGAUUAUGCAACAUAACAUUAAUUCUCUUAAUUUAUAACCGUUUUGCCACAUGAAUCUUGCACAGUUAAUCCUAAUUGAAGACUAAAAAAGAACAAUUGGAACAAGGUUUUGAAAUAGAAUGAUAUACAAUCGAUAUGAUCCAUUUCCAGUCGUCAACGCUAAUUAACUGCAGUUUCUAGACUCCUAAUUAUACUAGCCAUAAGAAACUGUUUAGAAAACUGGUGAUCAGAUUAGAUUUUGAAAAGAAAUAAUUUUCAUUUUCCCUUCGCUACCUUUUUUUUUUAAUUAUUUUUAUACCAAAGAAUUCCCUUUUAUUUAUUUAUUAUUUUUAUACCAAAGAAUUCUAUCAUGAAAAGAAUCAAUUUAAUCACCUUUUCCAGCAGCACAAUUUUUCUUUUAUAAAAUUUGACCACAGAGACAAAGAAGAAUUAUUCAUACCUUCAUCAGUAAGGAAAUACUUUUCAUUAUGGCUAGGGUGAGAAAAGGCUUUCCACAACACUUGUACUUUGUAUUCCUGUAAAUUUUCUUUAAAGUCAAUAAAAACCAUAAGUUCUUUACAAUAACCAUCUCUUUGAUAAAAAAGUGCCGUAUUCCUUUAGAAUUUAAAACCGGAAAAAUUGAAUCAGUGUCUUUGAAGAGACAUAAUGGUCGUAAUUCUUUAAAUGAGUUGGCUAUGGAAAUCCUUAUCCAAGAUUCUUUUACGCCAUAUUCUUUCGUAAACCAAAAUUCAUUUUGGAAUACUCUGUUGAGAAUGUCAAAUAAAACGACAUUGAAGGAAGUUUUCAAAGGCAGAAUCCGCACUUGUCAAAGGGAUGAUCUGCACUUGUCAAAGACACGAUCCGCGUCGAAUGAAUCGACACAUUUCCUUUCGUAUUCGCAUAUGUAAUCUUUGAAAAAAUGUAGCUUCUGCAUCUAUAAAUAACGCUUAGUGUAUAAUGUUUUAUUCAAGAAAAGAAAACAAGUUUCUUCAUACUCGUCGUCCGAACAUACAGAGACCGUCUCUUAUAACUUCAGCCGAAUACUUAUGAUGAUGAUCAUUUGUGAUUUCAUCAGGCAAAGGGUUGAUGGUGAAAAAAUUUGUAUGUGUGAAGAAUUGAGCUGUGGAUAUAGGGGACUUAAGUGUAAUCGAAAGAGAGUUAUUAGGUCAUAGUGCAGAUUGCAUUCAGUUUAUGGGUCGCUAUGCAGAUAAUUUGUUGACGUGGCGAAAUCUGUUAUGGUCGUUAGUAUUGUUUCUGGAAAUUUUCUAGAAACCUCAGCAUAAAAGGGGCUUUUGCAUAGCCUCUGGUGUGCGUGUGAUUUCUCUUUCGUUUCCUCAUCAAAUUCUGUAAUUCUUGCUUUGAUAAAAAGCUUGUAAUCUCUUCUGUAAUGUGUGAUCAGUGCGUAAUCAUUUUGAGCAAUAAGAGCUUGUGGGUUUUUCCUUCAAACAGUGUCGUUUUGGUCAGUUUGUUAGUUUGAUCUGUUGGUGGAAUUUUCUUUGGUUAUUUGUUCUCAAAUUUCAACCGUAUAUAAAGUUUGAACUCUAAUGGCUUAUAAUGUAUUGAUUAAGAAUAAUCCUAAGAGUUCCCGAUUGAAAUUUUUAAUGACUAUUUUUAUUGUUUUGGAUAUACAAAUUGCAUUAAGAAAAAAUAUUGUCAAAUUCAGAGGAUAACGGGAAAUAAUUAUGCUUCAAAAGGCCAGAGAUUAGAGAACAAAGAAGCAUUCAUUACUGAUAAACAAAAGAGAAACACUCCAAAAUUGCAAGCAAACUAGUUUCAUAUACUAUUUGGAUUUUGGAAGGGGUGAAGUUUUGAACUUCAGUUGUUCCUCUAAAAUCAAAAGCAUCAAUUAAGCGUUCUCAAUUAGAAAUAGCAAAGAAGACUUAUUGGUACCUUACUGAAGUUAACAUUGUGGCACGGUUGUUCAUAUGUAAUGGCUGCUCUGUUAUGCUAGCUUCUCUGUUUUUGCUUACAGUUUUGAACAUAAAUUCUUGCUCAAAUAACCCAUAAUUAAAUAACACUAAUAUGGCUCCUGAAAUCCCAUAAUAGCUAAUUACGCAACUUUCUCCUCCUCCUCAAUUAUGUCUUCCCCUGCUCGGACACUAACUUCAAAAUUCAAUGCCCCGAAAAACAACACAAGAAAUCUUUGAGUUAAAUCGUGACCAGUUUAUAUAUCGUAGCAAUUGAAAAAGAAAAAGAAGAAAAGAGUUAAUUAUUAUUCAGACCUUCACUUAUUAGGAAGUUUGUUCUGCUAUUGGGUGAGAUCAAGCUCUCAGCAUAUACUUCCACAUGAUACUUUCUAACAUUUUCUUGAAAGCCAUCAAUCAUAAAAUCUUCAUACUUUUUUCCAUCCUUUGGAUCAAUAAGUACAAUUUUUUCAUCUAAAACAGACAAAAUAAAAUCACUGUCCUUCAUGGAACAUAAUGGCUGCAAUGCCUGAACUGAAUUGGCUAAUGAAACAUAGUCUUCUUUUCUUUCUCGACAUGGAACAUAGUCUUCUUUUCUUUCUGGACAUAUGUCUCUGUACUUUUCUCUCUCUACUGAUCCACACUUUUUCAUACUUCUAACUAUCAUUUUGUUUUUUUUUUGUUAAGUUGUGAUUUAUUCAAUUAUUUUGUAUUUUUAAUGACAAUUAUUUAAUAUUUAGUUAGUUUUGAUAUUGAUUAGUGAUUGAAAGUGUAUUUUAGAAGACUUCCGGUCUCUUGAAAAAAGGAAAAAUGGAGAAGAAGAAGAAGUGUUCUUGAUUUUUUUGUAGGCAUUAAAGUUAAACGGUUUGAAAUGAUAUUUUGUUUUUAUUUCACUCAUUAAUCUCAUUCAGGAUAAAAUUAUAAAUGCAAAUAAAUGGGGUUUCAUAAGUAUUUUUAAUAGUGUUAAAAGGUCUACUCACUAAAUAAACAUGUUUUACCCAAACCAAUCCGAUUAAUAAGUUAUUAGGUUGGGUUGAUCAGGUUAAAAAUCAAAAUUAAAAAUUAAAUAAAUAAAAGGCAUAAAAACUAUCUGUUACUUGAAAAUAAAAAGAAUUUCUAAUAGUUAGUUCUAAUGUCCCAUAUCCAAAACAUGCAUAUUGUGAGGUUUGCUGGUGAAUCAAACUCAUCAGAACCAAAUGAUGACGUUUUGGCAAUUGAAGGAGCACUUAAAAGACACGUGAAACGCACGUCUGUUGUCACUUAAGAUUAAAGCUUGAAACGGCAGUUCAACCAUGUCGUUUAAAGGAAGCUUAGAAGUGAUGCACGUGACAGAUGUGUGAAGCAGCUCAUCUCAGUUCGUUAAGUUUGUUAUGCUACGUGUAAGCAAUCAGUUCGAUCUGGGUUUAGCUGGUUAGUUGCUCUGUUAGUUAUAAGAGCAGGCUGAUGAAACGAUUUGGGUUAAGCUUGUGAAUUCAUAUCAGAGAGAGAGAGAUUUCAGUGAAAGGGUUAAGAGUUCUCUGAAAUCUUGUAAACCAUUCUCUGUAAGAAAGAUCCUCCAUUGUUGAAUAAUAAAAGCUCUGCAGAAAACUUUUCCUGUGGAUGUAGAUUGUACCAAUUUGGUACAACUGAACCACGUAAUUGAUUCUUGUGUUGUCUGUGAUUUGUUUGUUUCUUGAUUCUCUAUUCUUUCUAGUUCUUGGGUACAUUGUUUUCACUUGGCUAGAUUCAUUCCUCAAUCUGUGCAUCUUGUAUAGUUCUUUAUCAAAGGUCCUGGGAAGUGUUUUAUUUGUCUUGCAUGUUAUAUAGCAAAUUAAAACACUACACAUAUUAAAUAAUAUAUUAUAAGUUAGAAAUACAAUAUCUAAAGAAAGAAUUAAUGAAAUAACAUAUUCUUGUUGAGAAUUAAGAGUGUGAUUUUAAUUUUGAUAUUGGAGUCUAAAGCAAUAGAUAGUACAAUGAAAUCAUGAAUGCUACGUUUAAAUAAUCUCUUUUAUAAAAUAAUAAAAAGAGGUUAAAAAUUAGGUUAACAUUUAGGGUUUAGCAGUUAAGGAUGAAUAUAUUAUUAUUGUUGUUGUUGUUAUUAUUAUAAUAAUAAUUAUUAUAAUAAUAAUUAUUAUUUAUAUGUUAAUUAAUUCAAUCCAACUUAAUUAUUAAUGAAUUUGAAAAAAUUGACCCAAUUAAUCCACAAUAAUUCAUUCAACUCGUCUAAAUUAGAUUAAGUUGAACUUAAUUUGCUACCCCACAUUGAGCAACAAACCUCAACGUCAUUCUACGAGCUCUUUGAUUGUUUAUAAAAUUGAUUUAGAGUACAUAAAGUGUAUCGACAAUGAAAGUGCAAAACAAAUUAUUGUACAUAUUAAAAUGUGCAAAAACAAUGAAUUAUAUGUACAAACGAGUGCAAACACAUUUUUCAAUAAGAAGUUGGAAGAUAUUUAUGCAUGAAAAAGCCUACGUUUGUAGUUAUUCUAAAUUUUAAAAACAAAAUUUACAUUUAGAUUCCUAAAAUUUACAUAUAAGUAUAAAAGUUUCAAAUAUUGUCUAUUAUUUUUUUAACAUGCCUAUUCCUUGUGGAUAAUUUUGUCUCAUCACUAAUGUUGUUUCUUGCUUACAAAAACCAAAAGCCACCUCCUUUUUGCAAUUUUUAUAGCGUCUCAAAAUAGACAAUAGGGGGAUUUUGAAUUUUUUAAGUCUCAAUAUAGUCUCUAAUCUUGUGAGAAAUAUUUUCUUUCAAUAAUUUGGAGGUAAACAUAACAUAACUUUUUGGACUAAAGCCUAACUCUGCUAAUAAGUAAUUGGUGGUAUCCUUUUCAAGACUUGAGUCUUUAGAUUCGAGUUUUAUAUAGUGUGCAUGUGUAUUUAAUUAAUAUUUUUUUUCAAAAAAAAUUACAUCAAAUACUAAUAUUCAUGACAUAAUUUAGUUCAUAAUUUUUUUAAAUACAUCGAAAAAUAUAAUUUUUUAACAACUUAAAGGCAUGACAAAUUUCAAGAUAUAAAUAUCAGUCAAAAUAAGUGAAAGAAAUAAUGGUGUCAAUUCUAAUUUCUUAACUAAAUUAAUUACUGCAUGAGCCCCGAAUAUGACACGAGAGUUUGAUGGGCUAACUUGGCACAAGAACGUGAAUAGUUAACUCAUUUAAGAAAUAAUUCAACAAAAAAUAUAAUUGAUAAGAAUGCAAUAUUGAAAUGAAUUUUUUACGAAACAUUGAAUUAAUGAUUAUUAAGCAAGAACAAUAAAAAAAUAAAAUAAAAAUAAAGAUUAACCAUUGAUAAGCUUCAACAAGAACUUAACACAACCCUCAAUCCUAAUUCAAAUUAUAAAUGUCAUUCAUAUAUUCAUUAUAAAUCAAUAACAAAGGUUAUAAAUGUUUAGAAAUUCUAGAGGGAAGGAAGCUAUCGCCGGGGAAUCAACAACUAAAAUUGAUGUAAUUGUGGCACGAGAUGGAAUAUGGAAACUACACCAUAAUUUUAAAUGCCGCCAUAGACAUUGACUUAUCUACAAUAACAAUGAUCUAAUUAAAAUUAAAAUAAAGUUUAUGGGCAUUUAUUAUUUUGCCAUUCCUCAUUUGCAAAUAGGGAUAUAAUUAUAAUUUUACUUAGUCAAAGCAAUCAGUAAUUUUUAGGGGUGUUCAAAAUUCAAUCCGAUCCGCUCAAUCCGUCUGAUCCGUAGAAAUCCGAUCCGUAAAAAUCUGAUCUGUGGAUUGGUAGAUUGGAUUGAAUUGAAAAUUUGAUAAUCCGCAAUCGGUGGAUUGGGUAUGGAUCUACUUCUGUAAAUUCGUAAAAAUCCGUGAAUCGGCAAAAAAUAAAAAGUAUUUAUUUAUUAAAAAAUAAAACUUGUAAAUAUGGCAAUAGUACUUACUAGUAAAUAAAUAAGUUAAAAUAUAGUUACAUUAACACUAUAUUAUAUCUUAUCCGAUAAUAAUAAAAAAUAAAAAAUACAAAAUGAGUUAGGAUACUUUAUUUAGAACCCACAUUUUAAUAAGGCUUCAUUUGAUGUAGUUUUUCAAACAGUGAUUAUUUGAGUAAAGUUUCCUCAAUAGAGUUUUUAUCAAAUAAAUUUUAUUUAUUUGGUUGUCGAUAAGAACUUUUAUUAAAAAUUAUAAAAUUAUUUAAAUAAACAUAUUUUUUAAAAUUACAUUAUAAAAAUAAUUAAAUAAAAUUAUAAAAGUAAAAUAUAUUUUAGAUAUUUUAAUAUUUAAGAAAAAAUUUUCAAUCUUUACUUUCAGAAGCUCAAAUUUUUAAUUUUUAGUUGUAGAGACAAAAUAUCUUAUUUAAUGUUUAAAAGUUCUGCUAAAAACAAUCAAAUAACUACAAAAAUUUUAAUAAGAGCAUAUAAAAUUAAAUAAGCAUUUAUUAAUAAUCACUUUAGUGUACUUAUCUAAUAACAAUAAGUGUUUAUUUAAUCUAAUAAGUUUUUAUUUAAUCUAAUGAGCUCUUUUUAAUUUUUUUUUAGUAGAGCUUUUGAAAAUUAAAUAAACUAUUUUGUCUCUAUUAAGAAAAACUUAAAAUUUAGGUUUUUGUAAGUAAAUGUUUAAAUUUUUUUUAAAAAUAUUAAAAUAUUAAAAUAUCUUUUCUUUAUUUCAUAAUCUUAUUUCAUUCUUCACAACAUAACUUUAAAUAACUUACCUAUUAAAAUAAUUUCACAAUUUCUAAUAAAAACUCCGAUUAACAAUCAAGCAAUAAUUUUUUUUUUUUUUUUGUAAAAAUUCUAUUUGUAAAAACUCUAAUAAUAAAAAUUCUACUUAAAUAAAUUUUAUUUGAAAAGGUAUACUAAACGAACCUAAGAUAAAAACAAAAAUUUUUAGAUCCAGACAAUUAAGCUUAAAACAAUUUCAAAUGAAUUUUAGACUAAUCAAAGUACAAUACGUACCAAGUUUGGUAAUUUAUUGACAUCUUCUUAUAUACCUUCGAUCAAGUCGAUUCUCACUUGACGACUAAUUGGUAGUUUGGUACAUCACCGUUGUUCCCUAUACUCGCAUGCAUCCGAUCACAAAUCUCACUCCAAUUGUUGUCUUUCUUCGGCGUUUUAGCGCAUCCUUCUUGAAUUUCUCGCAUUUCGUUCCCUUACAAGUCUCCGGUCAGGUCAGUUCACUUGACGAUUAAUUCGGCAAAUCUUGAAUCUCUUCUCUAUCCCUCUCGUUUUCUCGUGUCUCCUUUCAGUUAAAGCGAUUGAAUCAAUUUUAUCGCAGUCUAAGAGAAAUUAAGUAAUGCUCUUGGAUUUAAAAUUUUUUUGCUUUCGACUUUAGAUCUCGAAAGUCAAACUCUGCUACGAAUCCAUAGAUUCUCAAUGUUUAUAAUCUUAUUUGUGUUUGACCAGGUAACUGGAUCGUGAAAUUCGUCGUUUUGUAUCAAUUCAAGCUUUCGCGAGCUCAUGGAAUCACCUGGUGAGUUGUGGUGAAACGUUAUCGUUUCAAUUUUCGCUUAAUUCUUUAUUGCAUAUUUUUUUCUCUAAUAUUUCAGUUUAAUUAGAAAAGAAAGAGGACCCAAAAAGAGAGAGAGAGAGAGAGACUCUACCAUACUCAAUUCCUUGCUCAUUCUGAUUUGGCCUGAAUGUUGGCAUUGACUAUUAUUUGUUUUCAUUUCGAUUUAAUUCUCAUUUAGACAGUCUUUACUAACGGUCAAUAAUAGUUUAAGGAAAAUGAUAAUAGGGAUUCUGCAAUAAUCUUUCUGCAUUGUUCAAGUUAGUAGACAAUGAAUAGGAUGUUUACGUUUACCUCAUUUUGAACCCCGAGGGCUUAGUUGAGUAGUUGAUUGAUUCAAUCUUGCAAUGUGUUCCCACAAGGUUUUGAGUUUGAUUCCUAAUUAUGUGGACCUUAGUUUCGAAUUUGAGUUUGUUAGGUGGGUUGAUGGGGUUUUUGGGUAUUAAAAAGGGAGAAGAAAAAAGUUGCUUGCUUCAUUUUGUACAAACCUGUUGACUUUUUAUUUUUUUCUUUUUAUUUUUGUACUAUUUUGUUUUACAGUUGGUGGUUCAAGACAGACAUCUGUUAUUGUUGUAACUUUGGAUACUGGUGAAGUAUAUAUUGUAACCAGCUUGUAUUCUAGGACUGACACUCAAGUGAUAUAUAUUGAUCCAACUACUGGUGCACUUCGCUACCAUGGGAAAUGGGGCUAUGAUGUUUUUGGAUCUGAAAAUGAAGCAGUAGAUUACAUAACAAAUGGAUCACGAUGGAUGUGCAAGAGUACAACUUUUGCCAAGGCGAUAUUGGGUUAUACUGCCCUGGGAAGCUUUGGGCUGCUUCUUGUUGCCACAAGGUUAACUGCCAGCAUUCCAAAUCUUCCUGGUGGAGGAACUGUAUGCACGGUUACAGAGAGCCAAUGGAUCAAAAUUCCACUUCAAAAUCCUCAACCCCAGGGUAAAGGAGAAGUAAAGAAUGUUCAAGAGUUGCCUGAUCUUGACAUUGAUGGGAAGCACUACUUUUGUGAGACAAGAGAUAUCACUCGACCUUUCCCCAGCCGCAUGCCUUUGCAAAAUCCUGACGAGGAAUUUGUUUGGAAUGAAUGGCUUUCGAUGCCUUUUAAAAGCAUUGGUUUACCUCAGCAUUGUGUCAUUCUUCUGCAGGUUUUGCUUCAUACUCGGUAUCUUCAAAAUUUAUGCUCAUUAAACUUCUUUCAUUCCCCACCCUCUCACUAUCCCUCCACCUAAUUUUGUUUCCAAAAGUUUGUUUGAUAGUCUAUUGCCACUAUAUGUAAAUGUAUCAUUUCCAUUCUGAGCAUGAUAUUUUAUUCAUCAUCACUUGUUAUUCUAAUCUUUAGAUGAAAGAAUAUUUCGUAUUAACAUUUUUCAUGGGCCAGUACCUAUUUUAUGGUCCAUUGUAGAUACUAAAAUGACCAACUUUAUUUCUUGGUCAUAAAAAGUUGCGACAGAAAUUUUAAACAUGUGAAUAUUUAAAUCUGAUAAUUCAUUAAAGAUUUCAACCUAAUAGAUUGAAAACUUAGAUUCAUUCCAUGAAUGAAAGAUAAUAAAGCAUCAGCCGAUGGAAUAUGGGAAAUAGAAACACUUUCCCUUCUAUUAAGAAGAGCCUGCUUCAGAUGAUCCUCAUUUUCUUCAUCCACAGGCCAACCUAGAACAUACCACACCAAGGUAAGAAAGAAAAGGGGUAGCAGGAUUGCCUAGUUUGACAAUUAGCAAAGCCCCAAAUGUUCCUCUUUUACUUUUCUUUUAGAAAGGUAGACAUGUUUGACAGAUUUGGGACAUUGCAUCAUCCCUUUCUGCUGCACAUGGUUGCAAUGUUUUACUUCUCACGUGAAAGCCUAGAAAUCCCAAUCCAAUAAUAAAAGGCCAUUUUAGAGUCAAUGUACAAAAACUUCCUUCCUUGUCUCUAUAUCCUCUUUUACAAUCCAUUCUUAGUUGAAUUGAGAUUAUGCUACAGCUGCUUCUUCAAGUUAACAUUGUUAUGCAAUUCAAUGGUGAUUUACGUGUGUACUUGUCCUAAGCAUGUGAUUUGAAAAUAAUAUGUUAAUAUUGUUUUCACUGGAUAUUAAUGUAUAGGGAUUUGCAGAAUGUCGAAAUUUUGGAAGAUCAGGUCAGCUAGAAGGGGUUGUUGCUCUUAUAGCUCGUCGUAGUAGGCUGCAUCCUGGUACUCGAUACUUGGCUAGGGGGAUUAAUUCUUGUUUUAGUACAGGUAAGAUAAUCUUUAACAUCUCCAGACCUGGAAAUUACAUUUUUGUUGUUGAGAUUCACUUGGUUCUUCUAUACAAUCAAAAAAAUUAAGGAUUUAGUUUUUUUUUUUUUUAAACGGAAUUUUCUUUUCCUUUCAGUACUCUUUGCAUUCUGUGUAUGCUGUUUAUUCUGAUUGUCAUUGAUCUCAUGCCUUUACAAGGAAACAGGUAAUAGUUUCAGUGGUAAAUUCAAGUGGAAUUGGUUUUGAUUCUGUUGUUUAGAAAGAUGGAUUGUAGAACUACAGAACAUUAAUCGUGCCACCUCAUGGCUCAUGCAUGCUUUUGGAGUAUUCUUUACCUGUAGAAUUUUUGUUUUUGUAGUUGACUUGGAAUAUAACUUUACCAUUUUUUUCAAAUAAUAAGAAUCAAUGAGUCUCAUCAAUAUUAAUCAAUAAUGAGCUAAAGAUAUAUAACUUGUGUCUCAGAACUAUAUAUGAUAUGCUUGUGAAGGUGUAUUAUUUUAAGUAGAGAUACCAAAUGCUACAGGGAGAAGCAAAAAAGAACAUUCUCCAGUGAAAACCUUCUGACAGAUUACAUUUUUGGGAUAAAAAAGAAACAUUGAGAUCAUCAGCCACACUUUUUCUUCUUGUACUGUUUAAUUAGUUUAGAGGCCUUUUAGUUGGUUUUGCUUGCCUGGAGGUGUCAUACAGUUCACUUUUUGAAUACCCUGGUUUUCUACAGAUUAGAACUUGGUUUCCUUUCACUCCACAGCUUUUGCUUUCCUACAUCACGUCCUUUGGGAUAAUUGAAUAAUGAAUGAAUGAAAACAAUCAAAUAAUUUCUGACAAUUAGUUAAUAACUUUUAUUUUGUAUGACCCUUUUGAUAUGUGUGGUCCUUUAAUUUACGGUUGAAAUAUAAAUAUGAAAAAAGUCUGCCAAUUAGUUUUACAAAUGACUUUUGUGCCAUAGAAUAUAUAUAUUUUUUUUUUGCCGAAAAACAAAACAAAUUCAUAAACAACAUUGUAUUUCACCAAUUAACAGUGCAAGUGUCAUUAUAGUUUCCACAUAUUAGUUCUGUUUUCGUUAGUUUCAUUUUCAUUCUGUUAUGUAACUGAUGUUUCAUUGCUAUAAAAUUAAUUGUCUGUUUCUCUUCACAACUGUUAUUUUGAAUGAUUUUUUCUGAAUUUUAUAAACAAUUUGUAUAUGACAGGAAAUGAAGCAGAGUGCGAGCAACUUGUAUGGAUUCCUAAAAGGUCUGGUCAGAGUGUUCCUUUCAAUGCAUACAUCUGGCGGCGAGGGACUAUUCCAAUAUGGUGGGGUGCAGAAUUAAAGCUUACUGCUGCUGAAGCAGAAAUUUAUGUUGCAGAUCGGGAUCCUUAUAAAGGAAGUCUGAAGUAUUAUCAGAGGUUGAGUAAUCGAUAUGAUGCUCGAAACUUUGACUUAGCUGUUGGGGAAAAUCAGAAGAAAAAGCCUUUUAUUCCAAUUGUAUGCAUUAACUUGCUUAGGAAUGCGGAAGGGAAAUCAGAAUCUAUUUUAGUUCAGCAUUUUGAGGAAUCUUUGAACUAUGUCAGAUCAACUGGAAAACUUCCUUAUACUCGAAUUAUUUUAAUAAAUUAUGACUGGCAUGCCAGUACAAAAUUAAAAGGUGAACAACUUACAAUUGAAGGAUUAUGGAAGCAUCUAAAAGCACCCACUCAGGCCGUAGGCAUUUCUGAAGGGGACUAUUUGCCAUCACGGCAACGACUUAAUGAUUGCCGAGGUGAAGUCAUCUGCAAUGAUGACUUUGUGGGUGCCUUUUGCUUAAGAUCCCAUCAGAAUGGAGUGAUACGCUUUAACUGUGCAGACUCUCUUGAUCGGACCAAUGCUGCUAGUUAUUUUGGUGCUCUGCAAGUAUUUGUGGAGCAAUGUAGGCGGCUUGGGGUCUCCCUUGACAGUGAUUUUGCAUAUGGCUAUCAGUCAGCUAAUAACUAUGGUGGAUAUACUGCUCCUUUGCCACGAGGAUGGGAGAAACGAGCUGAUGCAGUGACAGGAAAAACAUAUUAUAUCGAUCACAACACUAGGACCACAACAUGGAUUCAUCCAUGCCCAGACAAACCUUGGAAGAGAUUUGAUAUGACAUUUGAGGAGUUCAAGCAUUCAACAAUUUUAUCACCAGUGUCUCAGCUAGCAGAUCUUUUUCUGCUUUCUGGUGAUAUCCAUGCAACCCUUUAUACUGGUUCAAAAGCAAUGCAUAGCCAAAUUCUUAAUAUAUUCAAUGAAGAACCAGGAAAGUUCAAACAAUUUUCUGCAGCACAAAAUAUGAAAAUUACCCUGCAGAGAAGAUACAAAAAUGCAGUUGUCGAUAGCUCUCGUCAGAAACAGCUGGAGAUGUUUCUUGGAUUGAGGCUUUUCAAGCAUCUUCCAUCUGUUUCAGUUCAACCUCUACAUGUAUGAUACUGUAGAACUUCAGAUUACCUAUUCAUACAAUCUGAGUUCAAUGAUUAUCAAUUUUCAUGAGGGAUGGAGACAAUAUUACACUAGCUACUUGUUUCUAACCUAAGCAUCCCUAACUUCUGCACAUAAAUAAAUGAUGCGCAAAGCAUACCAUAGCUAUAUCAAUGCCCAUUUCCUGUUUGAUGUUGACCAAUAAUGUUUGGAAGUUAGCUAUUGCAUGGUAAGAUGAUUUGAAGCUUCAUUUAAAGCUUCUAAGCCAGAGCUUCUAAGUCAUCUGGCUUAGAGAAUUUAAAUGUCCUCCAAAAGUCUGGAAUCACUGUUGCAUCUCAGCCUGAUUGAUAUUUGUUAUUGUUAACUUGGAAAUAUUUUGUUAAUCUUUCGGAUUGAACAACGUCGUGCUAUGAUCAUUAUUCAAGAAAUGACCUCAAGAACUUGUUGCAGUUGAGUGAUUUUUUGGUAAUGAUGAAAAUUAUUCAUGUUUAGGAACAGCUCUUUAGGGGAAAAGCAUAUAUGGGCUGGCUGGCCCUUUUUGGUGUAUUUGAUGAACCAUUUCAUAUCAUGCUGGUAACUGCAGGUUCUUUCUCGACCAUCUGGUUUCUUUCUCAAGCCAGUUCCCAACAUGUUCCCAAGUUCUGAUGGUGGAGCUAGUCUUCUAAGCUUCAAAAGAAAAGACAUGAUCUGGGUAUGGGUUGCAGCUAAACUUAGUCCUUUGUAGCAUUCCUAAUUCUCUGAUUGUCUUUUCUUUGUAGCAUUCUUAAUUCUCUGAUUGUCUUUUCUGUCCUUAAUGGAAUUCAUGCAUUUUUGGUUCUUUAGGUAUGUCCACAAGGCACAGAUGUGGUUGAACUUUUCAUCUACCUUGGUGAACCUUGUCAUGUCUGUCAGCUUCUUCUCACCAUAUCCCAUGGUGCAGAUGAUUCAACAUAUCCAGCAACAGUUGAUGUGAGAACAGGACGCCACUUAGAUGGGCUUAAACUGAUUUUGGAGGUUUGUAUUGGUUCUAUUGUACACCUUGCUUACAAAUUUUUUAUUUUUAAUUUUUAAUUUUGUAUGAUAUGCUCUUUGUUGGUAAAUUUCAUUUGACUUAGAAGAGAUAGUUUUAUCCCAACAGUGGGAUACAUCAUUGAGAUGCAUGGCAGAGUGAAUAUAGUAGACAAAAUCAUUGAGACCCAUGGUGGUGUGAACAUAGUAAACUUUGUCAAACACAGCUAAGAUGAGCAAAUUGUUUCAUUAGCCUUUAUCUUAUCUGCUGUGAUGAUUCAAAUUAAUGCUGUUUGGUAGGUUGCAAAAAAACGAAAUGAGCUGACUGUUCGUAUUAUUUAGUCAGAUCUCUAGCAAUAAGUUGAAGUUCAUUGUCACAUGGGUUGGGAGUAUCGUGGGCUGUGAGUAGUAGAAUGGAUUUAUGGAGUUGAUACAAGUGCCCACAAUCUCUCAUGUCAUUCUAGGAUUAAAUGGAUUGCACAUUACUGUAAAAAUGGAGGUUAAAUUUAUAUAAUUCGGAUUGAUUGUAAAAUGGAAGACAGAGAUGAGUUAGAAAAAGAAUGACCCGUGUCCUUUUUGAGCUGUUUCUAAAUGUCCCUGGUGUGCCUCAUGCUUAACACGUGCCUUUCCAAAUAAUUUUGCUUAACCUGUGCUUGUCUACUUCUUGUGCUAUUCUGUGCCUGGUCCUGAGCUGUAUUCCAAAUAAUUUUGCUUAACCUGUGCUGUGUGCCUCAUGCUUAACACGUGCCUUUCCAAAUAAUUUUGCUUAACCUGUGCUUGUCUACUUCUUGUGCUAUUCUGUGCCUGGUCCUGAGCUGUAUUGGUAGAUUGACAUCCAGCUUGAACUUUUAGGUAUAUCUUUUGUACAUAAAUUCUGAAUACCCAUGGACUUAGCGUGAUAUAAAGUCAAGGAUCCAUUUAGCUGAGUCCUUCAAGUUUUGUUAGUAUGUCUUCGGAUUAUAAAUAUGUAACAAAAUGAGGUGUAGAAUACAUUUAAAAAGAAAAGGAUAAAAAAACAAAAGAAAUGAAAAGAGGUGUUUAGAAGUAAUAGCUAAACUAGAUACACUCUCACUAAUUAGCGAUUCUGAUGAACAGUGCCCAUAGCUUCUUUUAUACCUUGAAGUUGCAGAAAUUGAUUCUUGGUGAAUUAAGUCACUUACAGACAUAACUUUUUCUUCCAUCUAAUUUUUAUUAGGUUAGAUAGGAGAAGACUUGUUUCAGGGUGUCCUGACCCUAGUAUUAGUUUUCUUGUCAGAUUUUUCAUGAAAAUUUACAAUGCACGUGACAUACAACUUCUAGUAAUCCUAGGACUUUGUUCACAGGGUGCUUCUAUUCCUCGUUGUGGAAAUGGGACAAACCUUUUGAUACCUUUACCAGGAUCAGUUAGUGCUGAGGAUAUGGCUAUUACUGGAGCUGGUGCACGACUUCAUGAUCAAGAUGCACCAACCCUUCCACUGUUGUAUGAUUUUGAAGAAUUAGAGGGAGAAUUGGAUUUUCUUACUCGUUUUGUGGCAGUUACCUUUUAUCCUGCUAUUUCUGGAACAAGNNNNNNNNNNNNNNNNNNNNNNNNNNNNNNNNNNNNNNNNNNNNNNNNNNNNNNNNNNNNNNNNNNNNNNNNNNNNNNNNNNNNNNNNNNNNNNNNNNNNNNNNNNNNNNNNNNNNNNNNNNNNNNNNNNNNNNNNNNNNNNNNNNNNNNNNNNNNNNNNNNNNNNNNNNNNNNNNNNNNNNNNNNNNNNNNNNNNNNNNNNNNNNNNNNNNNNNNNNNNNNNNNNNNNNNNNNNNNNNNNNNNNNNNNNNNNNNNNNNNNNNNNNNNNNNNNNNNNNNNNNNNNNNNNNNNNNNNNNNNNNNNNNNNNNNNNNNNNNNNNNNNNNNNNNNNNNNNNNNNNNNNNNNNNNNNNNNNNNNNNNNNNNNNNNNNNNNNNNNNNNNGAAGAUCAUGGUGUGGAAACUUAUAAAAGAUCUUCAACACAGGAUGGCUGUUCUCUGGCUAGUGGUGCCCAGCAGUACAUAAGCUGUCUAAAAUCCCUUGCAGGGCCACGCGAGGUAUAGUACUGCUCUCUUGUGUUUUUUGCAGCUCUACAUCUUAGUAACCUCAUCUUUUUAAUGGAGUAAAUUCUAGAAGUUCAACAAAUUUUGCUUUGCUAAAUGUAUAACUUAUUAAUCAGAGUCCUGUUAUUAUGGUUUGACACUACUGACAUAUUGUGUUGGUAAUUUAUUUGUACGUCCCUUGGUUGAAUUAUUUGCUGUCUCCAUGCCAUUCGAUAUGGUGCUACUUGGUUUUUGAUCAUCCAUGACACUAUAUAUAUAUAUAUGUAAAGGAUGAAUUGAUUGUUUUGGCUUGUAUUCUCACAUUUUAUGAUUGAUCGAUGGAAAGGUCUUCCUGUAUUAAAUUCAACCUCACAAGCAUAAGAUUGACAAAUUCUGGGCAAAUUUUCAGGAAAAGAAACUAGACUUCAUGGAAGCAAUGAAGCUUGAAAUUGAACGUCUGCAGCUGAAUCUUUCUGCAGCUGAAAGGGAUAGAGCUUUAUUGUCAAUUGGAACUGAUCCUGCCUCUAUAAAUCCAAAUGUAUUGCUUGAUGAAUCUUACAUGGGAAGACUGUGUCGAGUAGCAAACACUCUUGCAUUACUUGGCCAAGCUUCCCUAGAAGACAAAAUUGUUGGUGCAAUUGGCCUUGAGAAUAGUGAUGAUAGUGUUUUAGACUUCUGGAAUAUUACUAGAAUCGGAGAGAGUUGUUCUGGUGGUGGGUGCGAGGUUCGUGCCGAAACUAAGGUGCCUGCUCUUGCUUCCUCAACUGCAACAUCUGUUGGAUCUUCACAAUCCCCUUUGUUGUGUUCUCAAUGUGAAAGAAAAGUUUGCAAAGUUUGUUGUGCAGGAAGAGGAGCUCUACUGUUUUCAAAUUAUAAAUCAAGGGAUGUGACCAACUACAAUGGCUUCUCAAGUCAGAGUGGAUCAAGCCAUGGAAGCCAAGUUGAUGUAGCUACCAGUCGUUCACUAACACUGGAUGGCGUUAUCUGUAAACACUGCUGCCAUGAGAUUGUGCUUGAUGCAUUGAUGUUGGACUAUGUUAGGGUCUUGAUUAGCUUGCGAAGAAGUUCCCGUGCAGACAACGCAGCAUACAAUGCUUUGAAUGAGGUUGUUGGAUCCUGCUUAAAGGAUAGUCUUUCUGAAAGGAUUCAGUCUUCCGAUAACGUGCAAGCUGCUGAAGUCCUUCACCAAUUAUGUGGUGGACAGGAAUCUCUUGCUGAAUUUCCAUUUGCUAGCGUUUUGCACUCGGUAUGUUCUUGGUUUGUAUUCAGUUCUCAUCAUGUUAUGUUUUCCUUUUAAAUUUCUUUUCUUGAUUAAAAUUUUUAGAAAUAUGUUUUAGUAUUUGUUCUUAUGAUAUAUGCCCAGAACAUUCAUCCCACUUAUCCAUGAGAAUCCUUGUCUGGUUUGAUUUUCAAUUGAGACAUUUUUGGGAACCCUGCGCAGGUUCCAUAUGCUAAUAAUCUUUGAGGUAAGGUGUUGUAGGAUGCCUUGAGAAGCUAAAAACCCAUUACAAGGAAAAGGUCUUGCAUUGUUUUGUGCAAUCUGUGUGCGAGCUAGUCAUGUCUCUAAUAAUUUCAUAGUUUGCUUGAUUGGAAUUUUUUAUCUUGAUAUGGAUUGUUUAUUCUAGAUUCCUUGGUGCCACUGUAGGUUGAAACAGCAAAAGAUUCAGCACCGAUUUUGUCACUGCUUGCUCCAUUAAAUUCUGGAUCAAGGCACUCAUAUUGGAGAGCUCCACCUAGUACUACUUCUGUUGAAUUUGUUAUUGUUCUCGGUUCUGUUUCUGAUGUCAGUGGGGUUAUCUUGCUUGUUAGUCCUUGCGGCUAUUCUGUGGCUGACACUCCGAUGGUAAGUGCCAUAUUUAUUCCCUUAUUUCCUUGUUGUUCAAUAAAUUUGGUGAUAAGCCAAGUGGCCUUAAUAAUGAAGCCCAGUACCAGGGGUGGUGGGUAAUAGAUAUUCAACUUGUGAAUAUUCCUAAGCAAACACUGAAUCAACAUAUACCUCGGCAAAAGUUCUCUAUGCUAUGAUAAUGGAAGUCAUAUUUUGAAAUGAUUAAAAGAGUCCCUGUGUAGUGCCAUUUCCAACGAAAUUGCAGCUGGGGGUUUAGUUUCAUGUAGGUUAGUUUCCGAUAAUAAACUUUCCAUUUCAUUAAUUGCUGAUGAAAAAACCAAGUAAGAACAGUUUUGUUGCUCGUCAUUUUUGUAUAUUUUGGUAAACUGUAAUUUUAAAUUCUCAACGAUCUUCCCUUUGUAGGUAAGAAGAUGGUCCACUCACUUGAUAUUUAUGAUUGUAGAUCAGGUUUCUAUUGGUUUGCCUUUAUCAUUCGGAACCCAAGUUUGAUAUUAACAGAGAUCACGUCAAUAAUAUCCUAUUUGGGUAGAUGUGGGUGAGGAUUUAAAAUCAAAUUUGAAAUUGAGGGCAAAGAAGAGAAAAGAAACCGCAAUAAUUAAACAAAAUAUUAGGAACUAUUCUGAUGAGUUUUAAUCUCGAGAGGAACAAUUUUCAAAUGCAAAAUUUAACUGCUAGAGAAAUUGUAGCUUUUUGUCAUUAGUUAAGAGGAAAGAGAAUAAGAACUAUCUGGCCCUUUCCUUCAUGAAUGUGUGUUGAGGUUGCUGUAUUAUUUAGUCAGUAUUUGUAAUUUUCUUCCCUGCAGUGCUCUCUGCCUCCUGAAUUUGCUACUGAGUCCAUAUUUUUCUUUGAGCUGUUGCUUCCUAUUGCUGUUACAGGUACAAAUCUGGGCAAGCAAUAAGAUACACCGGGAGGACAGGUCAUCAAUGGGAAAAUGGGAUGUCCAAUCCCUCAUCACAUCUUCUUCAGACUUGUAUGGUCCAGAAAAGACAGCUAGUGUUGAAAAAUUACCUAGGCAUGUAAAAUUUACUUUUAAGAAUCCUGUUAGGUGCCGCAUUGUUUGGAUCACAUUACGUCUUCAGAGACCUGGUUCGGCUUCAGUUAAUUUCGGGAAUGACUUCAGUCUUUUGUCUCUUGAUGAAGAUGAAAACCCCUUUGCACAAGUAGACAGACGUGCUUCAUUUGGAGGAGCAGUUGAAAAUGAACCAUGUAUUCAUGCCAAAAGAAUUCUUGUAGUCGGAAGCCCAGUAAAAAGGGAGGGGCUUACCUCAUCACAGAGCUCUGAGCAGCUAAGUAUUAGAAACUGGUUGGAUAGAGCUCCACAAAUGAGUAGAUUCAAGGUAUUAGUUGCUUUCACUCUUUGUUCAUUCAUAAUUCCAGCUUUCUGCUUGAUGCCCUGCCUCUGAUAAACCUCUUUUUUUCUCUUCAGGUCCCAAUUGAGGCCAAGAGAUUGAUGGACUACGAUCUCGUCUUGGAACAAUAUCUACCUCCAGCGUCACCUUUGCUUGCCGGAUUCCAUCUAGACGCUUUCAGUGCAAUAAAACCUAGGGUUACCCAUUCACCUUCCUCAGAUUCAGAUAUCUGGGACAAAUCAGUAACAUUUUUAGAAGACAGGUACAUCUCUCAAGCUGUGUUGUAUUUACAAGUAUCCGCACUCCAGGAACCACAUAACAUGGUAACUAUUGCGGAAUAUCGACUGCCGGAGGCUAGAGCCGGAACGCCAAUGUACUUUGAUUUCCCACGACCGAUACAGUCCCGACGAGUUUCAUUCAAGCUUCUUGGAGAUGUUACAGCAUUUGCAGAUGAACCUUCAGAACAAGAUGAUUCAGGAUUGAGAGCUCUACUUGUGGCCACAGGUUUGUCUUUGUCAAACAGAAUCAAGUUAUAUUAUUAUUGUGAUCCUUAUGAGCUCGGAAAAUGGGCAAGCCUUUCUGGAGUUUGAUCAUUAUUUAUAUGUCAGAGAAAGAGUUUUGGGUUUGAUUUUGAUUUUGAUUUGCAUUUUUUGUCAGUUUAUUGAAAUUUUUUCGUGGUAUAAAAUCAGAAUGUAAAGGUAUAAAAAUUCAUUGAUGCUGCAAUGUCUGCUUUUGAGAAAGAAGAAUUCAACGUCUUUUCUAUGCCAUUGUAUUUUCCACUGCUUGUAAACUUGGGCUGUCGAAUGCUCUGUGAACCUUAAGGGCUAAAGUAAUUUUCAAGACUGAAGGAUUUAUUAAUCGAGUUCAAAAGAUUGCAAGUUGGUGAGCGUUGGCAUUUAAAAAUCAAUUGUUAUUCUCUCAAUAAUCUCUCUCUUCUGCCGACACCCCAAGCUCAGAAACCCGUUGUUCCGACGGACGUGUAACACUUCUAGAAAUUAGCAUUUUCUUCUACAUGAAGGUUGGUCUCUCCUCGUGAAGUGUUUUCUUUUUUGAGUGAAGGUGGUUUUCUACUUACAUAUGUCGAGGGUCUUACGAUAUCUAAUGUGUGAAAUUUCUCUCUCAUUUUACCAUAAAGAAAAUGUUUGUAAUGAUCUGAAGCUUGAGUCUUAAAUUAUCUUAAAUUUAUAUUUAGGGUGGAGCUAUUGGCAUCCCUACAUUAUUCUUACAAAAUUCCACUUUAAAUAAAAUUACAAUUAAGAACAAUUAAAAAUUAAACACUUAUAAUUUUUUGUACAGCAAAUUACUUAAUUUAUAAUCAAUUCUUUUAAAAUAUAUAUAUAUAUUUGUUACUUCUUAUCUAACUAAAAUAAAUUGUACAAAUUUAGAAUAAUCUAUUGUUCUUUUUUGAUUUCUUAUUGAUUUAAUAUUUUUAUACUUAAAAUUACUUUGAAAUUAUAAUUUGAAAUAUGUGUUAUUUUAGCCAAUAAUUAACACUUAAAAACUUAUCACCCAUAUAACUUUUUAAUUUGUGUGUAGGGUAAUAAUAAAAUUGAAAAUAAUUAAAAAUAGCACAAUAAUGAGUUUUAACAAUAAAACAAAUCAAAUGAAUAUUUAAAAUUUUAAAAAGUAUAUCUAGAAAAAGAGGUAUUUUCGGAAAUAGUUUGCAUAUAACUAAAAAAAAGUUUUAUGAGGAGAUCAGAUGGGUGCCAAUAGUCCACCUCGUAAUUAAGAAUCUCCCAUUAUAUUGUGAACCAAAAAGACACUUGCAUAAGAAGAAGAAUUUUUCUGUUUGAUUUUAUUUGUGGAUCCAACAUUUCUCAUAUCUUGAGCGCCUUUCCGUAUCAAAUUAAAAUAGUAGUAGCAAAAUUGUAGUGCACAUUCAAUUAAUCAACUAAUAGUCUAAGAAGCAAAGAGAGGAUUACAAGUUCACAACACCAUUACAAAGGAUUCAAAAUUCCCACACGAAAACAUCAAUGUACAGAUAUAAACAAUCCUAAUUGGACACAAGAAAAACCCUUAAAUGGAUUGCUUGCCUUCCCAAUGCUACAUACCCUGCAAACUGCUUACUGGCCAAGAAAAUGUUUUCAAUUUAGUGUAUUUUCAAAAUGCUUAUUUUCUCAUAAUAUUAAAAAAAUAAAAUAAAAAAGAAUUCUUACAUGUUUCAUCAGCAUGAUUAAAAUCAAAGAAGAAAGAGAGACAUAAUGUCUCUGACAUAAUAAAAUUAUAAAAAUUUCAAGAAAAAAAAAGGUUAAAACAUGUAAGGUGGAUGAUUGAAAACAAUUGUAUGAUGGUAACCAUCAUCUUAAACAAAUAAAAUAAGGUAUGUUCAAAAGUAAUAAGGAAUACAUAGACAAAACAUCAUCUUAAACAAAUCAUAAUCUAGAAUUGGAGCAUUUUCGACAUACCUAAGGAGAAAGAAUACGUGAAAAUAGGUGAUUCAUUUGUUAAGGAGUGUUGAUUUGGUCGUCUCUGCAAAUUCUUUAGGGACUCGGUUCCAGUUCCUCUUCAUCAAAACUGUAAUAUAAUUCCCCUUCAUCAGAACUCGAAUCAAAUUCACUUGCAGCAGUUCCACUCGCGCUUGGCAAAUCAUCCAAUUUCCAAACUUCGGUACCAAAAUUGAGAGUAAAAGUGUUGGCUUUGAUCUCGCUGCGAUUUGCAUAUACCGGACAUACUCCGUAACGUUUUAUCUUGUGACCCUUUUGGUUUCGGUAACACUCAUUGAAGAACUUAAGUGAGACAGUUGUAUGAUGGUAACCAUCAGGAAAGCCAACAUUCAAGCAAGGUUUAAAACAAAGUAUGACAUGAUCUGAAUCAAGGGAGUAUUUAGAAUAGGUAGAAAAACCCAGAUCAACAUAUUUGGUUUCAGAGAGAGUCUUUAUUUCUAAGUCGGAUUGAAAGAUGACGUACCAAUCGCACUUGCAACGAGAACAAACUUUCUUAGAAUCAAGAACAGCACAAAAAGCAAACCCGAUUAAGUUUCCGCAAAAAGAUUGCGGUGGCAGUUGAAUACAUAUCGAAGAUUCUGAACUUUGAUGGCUGAACCAGUCAGGAAUUUCGCUCCCAGGUAAAACAAUUAGGGAUCCCCAGAGUUCAGAAAGUUUCUGUGAAAUGACAUUUAAAAAAAGAAAAUUGUAAAUUGAAAACCAUGAUUUCAGAUAUAACAAAGAGGGACAGAGUAAACAAGAGAGGGAAUUUGAUACCUCGUUGAUUGCCUUUUCAUAGCCCAAUCUCAGUGAUGCAAUUGCCAUAUGCCGAAUUCUUAGUCGUGAAUCUGCCAAAAUCUUGUUGUUUGCUUUUCCAUCAAGUUUCAAGCAGUUAGUAAACUCAAAACAAAUUGCUGCUGACUCCAGAGAUUGAAUAAGGUCAGGAGAGGGUUUCGAUAACUUUUCGAGUACGGAUGCAUCUAGUUCUUGUAGACAUGACGGAAUCUCUGGCAAAGAUUGAAGCCGCUUGCAGUUCCUUGCUUUUAGUGAUUGUAGACACAAUGGAAGUUCUGGUAAUGACCGAAGCAUGUUACAACCCGUCAAGUCAAGAGAUUCAAGACACAAUGGAAGUUCUGGUAAUGACUGAAGCAUCUUACAACGCUCCAAGUGAAGAGACCUCAGCCGCGACAGUUGCUUGAUACUUGCAGGUAAACUCUCAAAGUUAUUUCCACUUAGAUGCAAGCCUGUCAGUGAGGAUAGACAGGCAAUCUCUUGUGGAAUUUCCAUUACAGCACAGUUCCUUAUAUUUAGACGUCCCAAAGAAGAUAAACCUAAUAAUAAUGAUCGAGGCAAUGAUACCAAACCUUUGCAUCUAGAGAACUCAAGAAUUCUAAGUACGUUUGAAUCUGCAACAGAGGAUGGUAGUUGACUAAUAGCUGAUCCAGCUGCACAGAUGUAACGCAAAGAUUUUAAAUUGCCAAUGUUAUCCGGCAACUUAUCAAGUUUAGAGCAAUCUUCUACGAACAAUACUUCAAGUCCCGGUAGAUUUUCAAAUGACGAUGGCAGCUCUGUAAUUGCCGUAUGGCCUAAAUAGAUGCGUUUUAAAUGUUCCAUUUUCUCCAAGAUUUCUGGGAAACGCUCAAGGUUCACGCAGCCAUUAAGAAAAAGAUCAACCAACGAUCUCAAUUUACAAAACCCAGUUGAAAUCAUCUUCAGCCGUUUGCAAUCCCUCAAAUCCAACACUAUAAGAUCAGUUAGGCACUCUAUUGAUGAUGGAACUUCUUCUAUUGCAGACUGGAUUAAGUAUAGCCGUGUAAUUUUCCCAGAAAUCUGUGGAAACUCUACGAGAUUAACACAAUAGGAGAAAUUAAUAGUUACUGGACAAACAAAAUGAAGAUUGGUUGGAAAAGACCUAAGACUUUUGCAGCCCAUAAAAUCCAACCUACUGAGAUACUUGAAAUUCUGGAUAGAUGAGGGAACACAAGCCUUUUCUCCUUCCCAAAGUUGCUCAACUUUACUUAAACGCAAAUUCAGUUGAACGAGGUUCUUUGGCUUGAAAUUUGAUGGCAGUGUCCUUAAUGGAUAUGUGUCCCAAUGAAGAUAUCUCAAUUUUUUAGGAAGAUAAUCUAGACCAUUUGGAAGCUGCACUUUAGAGUAUGAAAGUUGCUCUUCAAUGAUCAUACUUAGAAACCUUUCAAUCCCAUAAAACUUAGGUACAUAAAAUUUGAGCAAUCUCAUACUAGACAUAUUUGUGAAGGUUCCGGGGUCUAAAUUAAUGCCUUUUAUUUUGGACAAAUCCAGAAAUAUGCCUUCAAUUGCAUCGGUCCCCUUAUUAAAAAAAAAACAAAGAAUGAGUAAUCCUAAAACAGAAAAGAAACAUUCGUAAACUUUAUUAACUAAGAGCUCCUUAAACAAAAACAAAUUCUGCAAUCUUUGAUUUUAUUUUUUUAAUAUAUUAAAUAUCUAUAUGCGAGAAAAGAAAAUUUUGGGGGCCAUUGCAAAAUUAAACUAACCGAAAAAAAAAAUUCAAAAUUUCUCUAAUUUACAAACCUGUUAUCUUAAUAUCUAGAAGUUGAGAAGACAAGGCCUAUUUGAUUGGUAUAAGAUUUCAAUUUUUUUUUUUUUUUUUUUUUUUUGUCGAUAGAAUCCAAAAUGUUAGUUCAAAAUUAGGGAAAAAAAUGAAAGUCAUUUUUUUUUCCACUAGCUGUAAUUGUAUCCAAGUCAAAUUGAGAUACAACCCUUUUUGAAAGAAUUUAACCAUCUUACAACCUCCUUAAGGUACAUUUAAGAUAAAAGGAGUGAUUGGAGGCAGAACUAGGUGGGCCAAUCAGUCCAUUUUAUUAGCGACUGUUGCUUAAAAAAAAUUAUACUCUAAAACACACUUACAUUUUUGAAAAAAUAUAUAAUUAUAUUGAAGUAGAACCAGGUGGGCCAACCCUCAUGGCACUCACUUUGUUCUGACACUUUUCACUAAAUUUGAAGAAAAAUAAAAUUAUACUCUUCACACUCUUAUUCAACAUUCCAAAUUUGAUAAAAUCGGGAGUUUUCUUUAAAAAUUUAAAAUUUGAAGACUUGUUCUCUUGACACCCUCAGUCAUUAAUUUUACCUAAUUAUGGGUUUUAUGAUUUUGGUUGUUUUGUUCAUAAAAAUGCUUUUACUAAAGGAUGUUCUGGUAAUAAUAAAAUUUAUAAAAAAAACAUGGGUGUGCUGGUAUGGUUGGAAAAAUAUGAGUGCAUAACUCCAAACAAAUAAAAGAUAUAUAUAAAAAAAAAUGGAGGAUUCUUACCUUAUUAUGCUUGAGUACGCGGCGGAUUUCCUUAGGAUCCCACAACCUGCUGCGUUUGCCUGGCUCUUUCUCAGAUUCUUGGCGAACAAUCCGUCGCCCCAUUUCUUGCAAUAAAAUCAUGCAUUUGCAAGCAAUUCCCUGAUACUGAUAUGAGUGACUUAUCAAUAAGGACAUUCACGUCAUUCAGUCCAUAAGACUUAGAAUCAUCAAGUAUCCUUAUCACAAAAUCUUUAUCCUCUCCCUCAAAGAAACAAGCAAUAUCUAGAAAUACACUCUUGACAUUGGGCGUUAAUUCAUUAAAACUAAUCUUUAAUAUAUCAUACAUAUUAUGAAUAUCAGAUUCACAAAUCCGAUUUAAGUCGUCCAAUACGUUUCCCCAAUGGCUUUUCCUCUUGAGGGAGGAACCCAACACUUUAAGAACUAAUGGAUUGCCAUCAGCAUACUUUACAACUCUCCGUGACUCACGUUUGAAAUCUUCAGGACAAUGCUUUUCUUUAAAAGCGAAGUUACAAAAAUGCUCGAAAGCCUCAUCAAAUUUCAAUCCAUUAACCCUAUAUAUUUUCUCCACUGGAAACGUCUCGAGGACAUGUUUAUUCCUAGUGGUGAUGACAAUUCUACUUCCUGGACCAUACUGAUCAAGCCCUCCAAUCAAACCCUCUAAUUGUCCAUCUUUACUCACAUCAUCAAGCACAAUCAACACCUUCAUGCGUCGGACCCUCUCUUUAGUAAAUUGUGGAAUAUUGGGACCAUCUACUUUAAGUUUUUCUCUUAAUAUCCUUGAAAGAAUUUGCUUUUGUAGAUCUUCUAAUCCAUCCCCUCGUUCUAUAUUUCUCCUAACAUCUGACAUAAAGCACCUACCUUCAAACUCUCUGGAGAAUUGAUUGAAAAUAGCUGUGGCAAGGGUGGUUUUGCCUAUACCACCCAUGCCCCAAAUUCCAACAAUUUGGACAGUAUCCCACAAAUCCAUGCACAGAAAUGGUUUAAUCUGCUCAAUUCGUGAAUUUAAUCCAACUAGGCCAUUGGAUGAGUCCGUUGAGACUGUUAUUUUUUCCAUCUUCUUCAAAACAUCUUCGACAAUUUUGCUUACAAGUUGCGCAUCAUGCCUAAUAUGAAGGUGCAAAGAUGCAAAAACAUUGAGUCAAAUCGGGCCAACACAGAAACAGAGAUAAGAUGAAUUAGGAAAGAGAGUUACCUGAAUUUCGUGGAUUCGUGGCCAGCUAGAUGGGAUGUUUCUUUCAGUGCAUCCCUCCACUUCUGAACCAUUUCUGGCUUCUCUUUGAACUGUUGUUCGAGCUUAUCAAAACCGUGCCCAAAAAUUCCAGCUUGAUGCCGAACAUCGGACGGACUUACGCUAUAGAAAACUGGAAUAACGAUUUGGCCGUUUGUGUGCUUGCAUUCAAGAAUCUUGACAAGUUCAUUCAGGCACCAUUUUGAAGAAGCGUAGUCCUUUGAGAAAAUGACGACCGAAAUUUUCGAACCUUCGAUUGCGUUCAAAAGAGCAGGUGAAAUCUCAUCUCCUCGCCUAAGCUCUUCAUCAUCAAUAAACGUUUUGAUUUUCGUUCUUUCAUUCAAAUUAUAAUAGAGAUGGCAUGUAAAGCUCACGCGAGUGUCCUCUCCUCUGAAACUGAGGAAUACAUCAUAAUUGCAACAAGAAGAAGAGGAAGCCAUGAAGGAAAUUUUAGAAAUUUGGUGACAGAAACAGAGAAUUAAUCUUGAGAGUUGAGAGGGGAUAUGUAAGAAUGAAAAUGCGUAAAUAGUAAAUGAUUGAAUUAAUCUGGCGAGUAAAUAGUAAAUAAUUGAAUGGCCGGAGCUUUCUUAGUUUCCUGGAAAUUUCCUGGAGCUUUCGUAUACAUGAUUUGUCAAGUCAAGAAACAUAAUCAUGAUAAUGGGGCAGACCAGGAAGGAAAGAAAAUUUGAUCCAACCAAUAAAGGAAGGAAAAGUAAAGAAAGAAAAUUUGAAAGUAGAUUCAGAGAAUUAUAAAAAGCUAAAGGAUAUUGGAAUUUUGUACAAUUUCUCUAUUACAGUUUGGAUUAAGAUUUGAGCAAGCGGCCAAAACUACAUUGCGUCAGGGCUUUGGUGCCACACUCGUUUGUCUGUUAGUAGCAUUGGAUUUGAUCUGACGGCUGCAGAAGAGACACAAACAUAAAGAGGAGUAACCUGAGGAAAAGGUAAUAAGCCGGUUACCUGCAGAAAAUAAGUGCAUGAUAAAAUAACACAAGUAAUGAACACAAUGGAAGCGUAUAUGCAAGUAAUGGUUGGAAACAACUUGCUGGAAGCGUGCAAGUAUUGGUUGGGCACAGACCGACAUUAAAUUUCGCAAAUAGUGUCUGAAACAUUUGCAAAUACUUAAUUCAAAACGUCAAUAAAUGCUGGAAAAAAUACAUAUUUUUUUAUUUUUUAUUAAGAAUACAUUUAAAAAAAGAAUAAUUAUUAAUGGUACAUAUUUGUAACAAUUAUACCAAAAACAAUUAUCCAUAUAUUUAAAAAAAAUGUUAACAAUACAUAUUUUUUAGAAGUAUACAUAUUAUAUCAUAAAAAAAUUGAGUUGGAGCUUCGACAAGUAGAUCUUAAAAAACUAAGGUUGAAUUUUGGAGGAGCAGAUUCGGUCGUGGAGUAACAUUUGUUUAUUAUUAUUAAUUUAUUUUGGUAGUCCUAGUGAAACAUCGUUGUUUCACAUAGAUGAUGUCGCAGUUUGAUAGACGGGAUGACAUGUGAUUUUUUAUCAAAUAUAUCGGGCCACAUGGCAUUUUUGACUAGGUGAAUGGAGUGACAUGUUAAUUUUUUUUUUUUUUAAUCAAAGGUUCUUCUAUCUUAGAAGACUAGAUUAGCCUUAUGAUGUCAAGACUUGGAAACGACAACUAACUGACUAGUGGAUAGCAGACACAUGUUGUCAACUUAGGGUAUACAAGGAUACAUGUUAAAAGUAUUGUAGUAUAUGUGAUACAAGUGUCAUGGAAGGCUAUAUGAGUGAUAAUUACUCAUUAAACUAUAAGUUGCAAUAAUUUAACACAACAAGUGCCAAUUAAAAUGUAAUAAUUUAAAAAAAAUUAGGUAUUCUCCGUCUGUCUCCCUCUCAAUCAAUGUGUCCUACUUUGAAUGUUAAUAUUUAUUAUCAAACAUAAAAAAAUUCUAAAAUAUUAAAAAAAAAAAACAGAGUCUUCUAGGCACAUAAAUUAGAGUAGUUUCGUGAACAAAGAACUUGAGAAAGAUAAUGGUGGCACUCUCUUAGAAGGAAUCUAUGGGGUUAAUGUUUUCUUCCCUAUGUCUAUUUUAUGUAUCUUAGUUUCAAAAACAAGAUGUACACAAUUAGGGGUUGGUUAAUGCAGUUAAAACGGUGGAAAAAGGCUUAUAGAAAUAAAAUAUAAUUGUAAUGCAGUGUUUGGUAUGAAUAAGUAAACUAAAAAUAAGACAAUUGGGUAUACGAAUUUAUAAUGCGAUAAUAAUAUUUUUUCCCUAAGACGACCCGUAGGGUAAGAUUAUAGACUAAAUUGUUGUGUUAUGUUAAUGAUACGAUAUAAAAGUGUUGUUUUAGAAGCUGUAAAAGUUAGUUAAUGUGAAAUUUGUUUUUAAAGGUAAUUGUCUUGUAACCCCUUGUUUUUAAGGGUAAGAUUAUAGACGCAAUUUGUUUGUUUUGAAAAAAAGUCCCUUAUGUUGAGCUGGACUUUUUUUCGUCUUCACAAGUCCCUUUUGCCGAGCUGGAAUUUUUCUGACAGAGUCUCCGUUUGUUCCCAUAAUAGCGGCGAGAAUCUGGCCGAGCCUCGAUGAUAGCUCGUUGCUACGACACGUGACUGUGUCCAUUGAGUCUCUAUUCGAAAUCCAAAUGUCGACGACAACGGCCGCCUCCACUAACGGUUCUCAAAUCACGCCGUGCGUUGAUGACGUGGCGGUGGCAAUUAACAACAAUAACUUCAACUCGAAGGAGAGAUUCAACGACCGUGAUUUUUUGUUGAAGCAGUCGUAUUCGUUUGGAUUCGAGCGGAGUCUUGCAUCGAAGAGGAUGGUGAUGGAGGCGGUAAUGGCGUUGCCGUGGAAGUACAAGAGGGGGAGUUACUGGAGCAAACAGUCGUCUCCGUUUGGCUCAUUGACGAAGUCUAGAGUCUUCUGGAGCAAAGGAUUAUAUACUUAUCCUCUUUGUUUUCCUUUUACUGAUACUGUAGCUUUAGCCGAUUACCCAUUUUCCAAGUGUUAAACAUGAGCCGUUGUUACCUUUCUUUACUAUCUAAAUGGUCAUUCGCAAAAGGACAAAUGACUAGGGUAUCAAACCCCUUACGCAAUGUAGCUGGACCCUUAGCAAAGCAUUCACCUAAAUCUUACCUCCGCUGUAAAUUCUUAAGUUUUGAAAAUUAUGAGACCUUUAUAUUGGGAGAUAUUAUAAUCAAAUGAAAAGUUAAAAUUUUAAUAUUGUUAAUAAAUGACAAAGCCAUUUCAUUUCUCUUUUACAUGUUAUUAAUUUUUGUAACACGGGGUGGCAACAUAAGCAUAAUCAAGUAAAGCAAAAGGGUUUCAAAUUAUGGUGGUAAAACGUGAAGAAGGAUGCCAACUGAAUAAUUCCUUCCACAAAACGAAAAAUAAUCACAGAAAAAGGAAUCUCUUAUAAAAUGUUUGCGUAUUUUUUAUAAGGUUUGAAACUUUAGGUGGUCGGUAAAUGAUUUCUUAAUUGAAUAAUAUAUAAAAAAGCUAAUUAUUUAUAAUUUUAAAUAAUCUGAAUUUGUAUGUUAGAAAUUUCAUCUCUUUUAUUUUUGAGAAUUUUUCAUAAAGAAUAGAGAACAUAAUGUUAACAUUUAAAGUAACACAUCUCAAUCGUCGAAAUUAUUUUUCUAUUAAAUCCAACGAUAACGAAUUAAUGUCAGAAAAGGACAAAAUUAGUGGUGGCUUGCAAUAAUUGCAAGGUAGCUUUUGUAAAGACAGAAAUGUGAUGGAUUCAAAAAGAAAUUGAAGUGAUAAUGUACGUGGAUCCUUAAAAUAAAAAGCCGAAUCGCUUGGUGGCCCAGUAAAAUUACGAUUUGAAUUUUUUUUUUUUUUUUUUUUACACAAUGUGUCAAGCACAUAAAUGACGAAAGCCAUUUCAUUUCCCUUUCACACGUCAUUAACUUUUGUAACACGGUGUGUUCAUCGUCAAGUGAGGCAAAAGGGUUUCCAUUACAGUGGGAAAACAUGAACAAGAAUGCAUAAUGAAUAAUUCCUUCGAUAAAGCGAAAAUUAAACAUAAAAUAAUCCUAAAAUUUAAACUCUAAUAUCCUUCGAUAAUGUAUUGAUUAAAAAUAAUCCUAAGAGUUUCCAAUUGAAACUUCCGUAAGUAUUUUUAUUGUUUUGGAUAAACAAAUUGCACUAGGAUAAAAAUUUGGUAAAUUCAGAGGAUAAUAGAAAAUAGCUAUGGUUCAAUAGGCCAAAGAUUAGAGAACAAACAAGAAUUAGUUAUUGAUAUACAAAAGAGAAACACUCCAAAAUUUCAAGCAAAAAUAGUUUCAUAUACCAUUUCGAUUUUGGAAGGGGUGAGGUUUUGAAAUUCAAUAGUUUCCUCUAAAAUCAAAAGGCAGCAAUUAAGUUAGAAAGAGCAAAGAAGACUUAUUGGUACCUUAUUGAAGCUGAACAUUAUGGAACUUUCAAUGUCAUUACCUCACUGUUCAAUUUUUAUUGAGAUUUGUGCAAGCAUUUACCUAAAUUUUACCUCCGCCUGUAAAUUCAUAAGUUUUGAAAAUUUUGAGACGUUAUAUUGGGAGAUAUUAUAAUCGAACUAAAACUUAAAAUUUCAAUAUUAUUAUUCUUUGAAAAAAAAAUGAGAUAUCAGAGUAAUAUCACAUAGAAUGGUAAGCCAAAAGUCUAAUCAACCACAUGCAUAAAGCUAACUAGAACAAGUGAACAGAGAAACGCGUGGGUCCCUAAAAGAAAAGGCAAGCACAUAAAGAAAACGGAAAACAAACGCCAGAGAAAAGAAUUUCUUAUAUGCCUUGAUAUUGAUUAAUAUUCAGCGAUAGCUUAAUGCUUACCAUCAAGCAACUUUGAAAGCAGGAAGCUAUAUAUGACAAGAAAUCAAAGUAAUGUGAAGGAACAUGAUGAUGAAAUUGCAGGCCAGCACAAAAACACCCAUACCCCUGAUUUGUUUAAAUGUACACGAAGACCUUAAGGUUUGGUAAAAGAAAAUUGAAUUUAUAUUGUAUUAUAAUACAAUUUUUUUUAAACCAUCAAUGAUAAAAUCUUCUUACUUUUUUCCAUCCUUUGGAUCAAUAAGUACAAAUUUCUCAUCUAAAUCUUCAUACUUUUUACAAAUGACUUUUGUGCCAUAGAUUUUUUUUUUCUUUUUUUGGUUUUGCCGAAAAAACAAAACAAAUUCAUAAACAACAUUGUAUUUCACCAAUUAACAGUGCAAGUGUCAUUAUAGUUUCCACAUUUUAGUUCUGUUUUUUUUAGUUUCAUUUUCUUUCUGUUAUGUAACUGAUGUUUCAUUGCUAUAAAAUUAAUUGUCUGUUUCUCUUCACAACUGUUAUUUUGAAUGAUUUUUUCUGAAUUUUAUAAACAAUUUGUAUAUGACAGGAAAUGAAGCAGAGUGCGAGCAACUUGUAUGGAUUCCUAAAAGGUCUGGUCAGAGUGUUCCUUUCAAUGCAUACAUCUGGCGGCGAGGGACUAUUCCAAUAUGGUGGGGUGCAGAAUUAAAGCUUACUGCUGCUGAAGCAGAAAUUUAUGUUGCAGAUCGGGAUCCUUAUAAAGGAAGUCUGCAGUAUUAUCAGAGGUUGAGUAAUCGAUAUGAUGCUCGAAACUUUGACUUAGCUGUUGGGGAAAAUCAGAAGAAAAAGCCUUUUAUUCCAAUUGUAUGCAUUAACUUGCUUAGGAAUGCGGAAGGGAAAUCAGAAUCUAUUUUAGUUCAGCAUUUUGAGGAAUCUUUGAACUAUGUCAGAUCAACUGGAAAACUUCCUUAUACUCGAAUAAUUUUAAUAAAUUAUGACUGGCAUGCCAGUACAAAAUUAAAAGGUGAACAACUUACAAUUGAAGGAUUAUGGAAGCAUCUAAAAGCACCCACUCAGGCCGUAGGCAUUUCUGAAGGGGACUAUUUGCCAUCACGGCAACGACUUAAUGAUUGCCGAGGUGAAGUCAUCUGCAAUGAUGACUUUGUGGGUGCCUUUUGCUUAAGAUCCCAUCAGAAUGGAGUGAUACGCUUUAACUGUGCAGACUCUCUUGAUCGGACCAAUGCUGCUAGUUAUUUUGGUGCUCUGCAAGUAUUUGUGGAGCAAUGUAGGCGGCUUGGGUUCUCCCUUGACAGUGAUUUUGCAUAUGGCUAUCAGUCAGCUAAUAACUAUGGUGGAUAUACUGCUCCUUUGCCACGAGGAUGGGAGAAACGAGCUGAUGCAGUGACAGGAAAAACAUAUUAUAUCGAUCACAACACUAGGACCACAACAUGGAUUCAUCCAUGCCCAGACAAACCUUGGAAGAGAUUUGAUAUGACAUUUGAGGAGUUCAAGCAUUCAACAAUUUUAUCACCAGUGUCUCAGCUAGCAGAUCUUUUUCUGCUUUCUGGUGAUAUCCAUGCAACCCUUUAUACUGGUUCAAAAGCAAUGCAUAGCCAAAUUCUUAAUAUAUUCAAUGAAGAACCAGGAAAGUUCAAACAAUUUUCUGCAGCACAAAAUAUGAAAAUUACUCUGCAGAGAAGAUACAAAAAUGCAGUUGUCGAUAGCUCUCGUCAGAAACAGCUGGAGAUGUUUCUUGGAUUUAGGCUGUUCAGUUCAUUUUUUUGUGGUAGAAAUGUCGUCAUUUUAAAUUUAGUGUAUUUUCAAAAAGCUUAUUUUCUCAGAAUAUAAAAAAUAAAAAAAUAAAAAAAGAAUUCUUACAUGUUUCAUCAGCAUGAUUAAAAUCGAAGAAGAAAGCGAGACAUAAUGUCUCUGACAUAAUAAAAUUACAAAAAUUUCAAGGAAAAAAAAGAAGUUAAAACAUGUAAUCUUCAGAAGCAUAUAAUAAAAGAGCACUUCCACAAAUUACUACAAUUUCAUGCAGUAGAGAUUGAAGAGUUGAAUUCCACUUAUAGACACCGACCUCUUGUUUUGUCUAAUGUUAAAAUUACAACCUCUUGCUUUGACUUAUUAGCAGGUUUCAAAAGUAAUAAGCAAUGCAUAGCCAAAUUCUUAAUAUAUUCAAUGAAGAACCAGGAAAGUUCAAACAAUUUUCUGCAGCACAAAAUAUGAAAAUUACUCUGCAGAGAAGAUACAAAAAUGCAGUUGUCGAUAGCUCUCGUCAGAAACAGCUGGAGAUGUUUCUUGGAUUUAGGCUGUUCAGUUCAUUUUUUUGUGGUAGAAAUGUCGUCAUUUUAAAUUUAGUGUAUUUUCAAAAAGCUUAUUUUCUCAGAAUAUAAAAAAUAAAAAAAUAAAAAAAGAAUUCUUACAUGUUUCAUCAGCAUGAUUAAAAUCGAAGAAGAAAGCGAGACAUAAUGUCUCUGACAUAAUAAAAUUACAAAAAUUUCAAGGAAAAAAAAGAAGUUAAAACAUGUAAUCUUCAGAAGCAUAUAAUAAAAGAGCACUUCCACAAAUUACUACAAUUUCAUGCAGUAGAGAUUGAAGAGUUGAAUUCCACUUAUAGACACCGACCUCUUGUUUUGUCUAAUGUUAAAAUUACAACCUCUUGCUUUGACUUAUUAGCAGGUUUCAAAAGUAAUAAGGAAUACAUAGAUAAAACAUCAUCUUAAACAAAUCACAAUCUAGAAUUAGAGCAUUUUCGACAUACCUAAGGACCACGAAUACGUGAAAACGGGUGACUCAUUUGUUAAGAAGUGUUGAUUUGAUCGGCUCUGCAAAUUCUCUUGGGACUCGGUUCCAAUUCCUCUUCAUCCGAAGUUCCACUCGCGCUUGGAAAAUCAUCCAAUUUCCAAACUUCGGUAGCAAAAUUGAGAGUAAAAGUGUUGGCUUUGAUCUCGCUGGGAUUUGCAUAUACUGGACAUACUCCGUAACGUUUUAUCUUGCAAUCCUUUUGGCUUCGGUAACACUUAUUGAAGAACUUAAGUGAGACAGUUGUAUGAUGGUAACCAUCGGGAAAGCCAACAUUCAAGCAAGGUUUAAAACCAAGUAUGACAUGAUCGGAAUCAAGGGAGUAUCUAGUGGGCAAAUCGAAACCCAGAUCAACAUGUUUGGUUUCAGAGAGAGUCUUUAUUUCUAAGUCGAAUUGACGGUAGAAGUAAAAAUCACACAUACAACGAGAAUAAACUUUCUUAAAAUCAAGAACAGCACAAAAAGCAAACCCGAUUAAGUUUCUGAAAAAAGAGUGCGGUGGCAGUUGAAUAUAUAUCGAAGAUCCUGAACUUUGAUUGCUGAACCAGUCAGGAAUUUCGCCCCCAGGUAAAACAAUUAGGGAUCCCCUGAGUUCUGAAAGUUUCUGUGAAAUGACAUUUAAAAAAAGAAAAUUGUAAAAUGAAAACCAUGAUUUCAGAUAGGGAUAUUAUCAUUUUUCCACCAAAGGUAUUCUGACACAUCAUGUCAGUACCACGGUUUGGUAAAACUAUCAAUUUACCACCAAACGUUUAAACUGUUAGGAUUUUCCCACUAUUCCGUUAAAACUCAGUUAAUAUGUAACGGAAAAUUUCUAAAAAGUCAAUUUUACCCCUGGAGCAUAAAAGACCAUAUAAUUAACUUUUUAUGAAUUUUGUAAUUAAAUCAUCAUUUGUUGUUCUUCCUUCUUAAAGGACAAAAAUUACCCUUUAUAAAUUUUAUAAAAUUGGCCGUGUAGUGCUAGGUACUUCAUAAAUUAAUUUAAUUUUUAAAGGGCAAAUUUAUUUAUUAAAUUGAUGAGCUCAAGACAAUUUAUUCUACUACUAAAAAUCAAUUUAUGAAAGGGAAAAAAAAAAGAAUGUGCAAACGAAGUAAUUUAAUCUUUGAUAUGAUGAUAAUAAUUUUACACAAAAAAUUAAAUAAAUAAAUUUUCCCUUUAAAAAUUAAAUAAAUUAAAUCAAUUUAUGAAGUACCAAAUACCACACGGUCAAUUUUACAAAAUUCAUAAAUGGUAAUUUUUGUCGUUUAAGAAUAAAGAAUAACAAAUGAUGAUUUAAUUACAAAAUUCAUAAAAAGUUAAUUAUAUGGUCUUUUAUGCUCCAGGGGUAAAAUUGACUUUUUAGAAAUUUUCCGUUACAUAUUAACUGAGUUUUAACGGAAUAGUGGGAAAAUCCUAACAGUUUAAACGUUUGGUGGUAAAUUGAUAGUUUUACCAAACCGUGGUACUGACAUGAUGUGUCAGAAUACCUUAGGUGGGAAAAUGAUAAUAUCCCUUUCAGAUAUAACAAAGAGGGACAGAGUAAACAAGAGAGGGAAUUUGAUACCUCGUUGAUUGCCUUUUCAUAGCCCAGUCUCAGUGAUGCAAUUGCCAUAUGCCGAAUUCUUAGUUGUGAAUCUGCCAAAAUCUUGUUGUUUGCUUUUCCAUUCAGUUUCAAGCAGUUAGUAAACCCAAAAUAAAUUGGUUGUGACUCCAGACAUCCCGGUGCCCAUUGACGAAGGUCAGGAGAGGGUUUCGAUAGCUUUUCGAGUACGGAUGCAUCUAGUUCUUGUAGACAUGACGGAAUCUCUGGCAAAGAUUGGAGCCGGUUGCAGUUCCUUGCAUUUAGUGAUUGUAGACACAAUGAAAGUUCUGGUAAUGACCGAAGCAUGUUACAAUCCUCCAAGUUAAGAUAUUUUAGACACAAUGGAAGUUCUGGUAUUGACCGAAGCAUGUUACAACCCGUCAAGGCAAGAGAUUCUAGACACAAUGGAAGUGCUGGUAAUGACUGAAGCAUCUUACAAUCCGUCAAGUCAAGAGAUGUUAGGCACAAUGGAAGUUCUGGUAAUGACUGAAGCAUCUUACAAUUCUUCAAGUCAAGAGAACUCAACUGCGACAGUUGCUUGAUACUUGCAGGUAAACUCUCAAAGUUAUUUCCACUUAGAUGCAAGCCUGUCAGUGAGGAUAGACAGGCAAUCUCUUGUGGAAUUUCCAUUACAGCACAGUCACUUAUAUCUAGAAGUCCCAAAGAAGAUAAACCUAAUAAUAAUGAUCGAGGCAAUGAUGCCAAACCUUUGCAGCUAGAGAAAGAAAGAAUUCCAAGUACGUUUGAAUCUGUAACAGAGGAUGGUAGUUGACUAAUAGCUGAUUUAGCUGCUGAGAUGUAAUACAAAGAUUCUAAAUUGCCAAUGUUAUCCGGCAACUUAUCAAGUUUAGAGCAACCAUUUAUGAACAAUGAUUCAAGCCCCGGUAGAUUUUCAAAUGACGAUGGCAGCUCUGUAAUUGCCGUCCGGUCUAAAUAGAUGCGUUUUAAAUGUUCCAUUUUCUCCAAGAUUUCUGGGAAACGCUCAAGAUUCAAGCAGCCAAGAAGAAUAAGCCGAACCAAAGAUCUCAAUUUACAAAACCUAGUUGAAAUCCUCUUCAGCCGUUUGCAACCCAUCAAAUCCAACACUUCAAGAUCAGUUAGGCACUCUAUUGAUGAUGGAACUUCUUCUAUUGCAGACUGGUCUAAGUAUAGCCGUGUAAUUUUCCCAGAAAUCUGUGGAAACUCUAUGAGAUUAACACAAGAGGAGAAAUUAAUAGUUACUGGACAAACAAAAUGAAGAUUGCUUGGAAAAGACCUAAGACUUUUGCAGCCCUCAAAAGACAACGCACUGAGAUACUUGAAAUUCUGGAUAGAUGAGGGAACACAAGCCUUUUCUCCUUCCCAAGGUUGCUCAACUUUACUAAGGUAUUCUGACACAUCAUGUCAGUACCACGGUUUGGUAAAACUAUCAAUUUACCACCAAACGUUUAAACUGUUAGCAUUUUCCCACCAUUCCGUUAAAACUCAGUUAAUAUGUAACGGAAAAUUUCUAAAAAGUCAAUUUUACCCCUGGAGCAUAAAAGACCAUAUAAUUAACUUUUUAUGAAUUUUGUAAUUAAAUCAUCAUUUGUUGUUCUUCCUUCUUAAAGGACAAAAAUUACCCUUUAUAAAUUUUAUAAAAUUGGCCGUGUAGUGCUAGGUACUUCAUAAAUUAAUUUAAUUUUUAAAGGGCAAAUUUAUUUAUUAAAUUGAUGAGCUCAAGACAAUUUAUUCUACUACUAAAAAUCAAUUUAUGAAAGGGAAAAAAAAAAGAAUGUGCAAACGAAGUAAUUUAAUCUUUGAUAUGAUGAUAAUAAUUUUACACAAAAAAUUAAAUAAAUAAAUUUUCCCUUUAAAAAUUAAAUAAAUUAAAUCAAUUUAUGAAGUACCAAAUACCACACGGUCAAUUUUACAAAAUUCAUAAAUGGUAAUUUUUGUCGUUUAAGAAUAAAGAAUAACAAAUGAUGAUUUAAUUACAAAAUUCAUAAAAGGUUAAUUAUAUGGUCUUUUAUGCUCAGGGGUAAAAUUGACCUUUUAGGAAUUUUCCGUUAGACUCCGCAACGUUUUAUCUUCUGACCCUUUUGGUUACGCUCAGCGAAGAACUUCAAUGUGGCAGUUGCACGAUGGUAACCAUCAGGAAACCCAACAUUCAAGCAAGGUUUAAAACCAAGUAUGACAUGAUCUGAAUCAAUGAGUUCUUCAAUAAAGAGCGAAUUGUAACCCAGAUCAACAUGUUUGGUUUCAGAGAGAGUCUCUAUUUCUAAGUCGAAUUGACACUUGACGUAAAAAAAACGAAAACAAUCAGAAUCAACUUGCUUUAAAUCAGGAACAGCACAAAAAGCAAACCCGAUUAAGUUUCUGCAAAAAGAGUGCGGUGGCAGUUGAAUACAUAUCGAAGAUCCUGAACUUUGAUUGCUGAACCAGUCAGGAAUUUCGCUCCCAGGUAAAACAAUUAGGGAUCCCCUGAGUUCAGAAAGUUUCUGUGAAAUGACAUUUAAAAAAUGAAAAUUGUAAGAUGAAAACCAUGAUUUCAGAUAUAACAAAGAGGGACAGAGUAAACAAGAGAGGGAAUUUGAUACCUCGUUGAUUGCCUUUUCAUAGCCCAGUCUCAGUGAUGCAAUUGCCAUAUGCCGAAUUCUUAGUUGUGAAUCUGCCAAAAUCUUGUUGUUUGCUUUUCCAUUCAGUUUCAAGCAGUUAGUAAACCCAAAAUAAAUUGGUUGUGACUCCAGACAUCCCGGUGCCCAUUGACGAAGGUCAGGAGAGGGUUUCGAUAGCUUUUCGAGUACGGAUGCAUCUAGUUCUUGUAGACAUGACGGAAUCUCUGGCAAAGAUUGGAGCCGGUUGCAGUUCCUUGCAUUUAGUGAUUGUAGACACAAUGAAAGUUCUGGUAAUGACCGAAGC